rnacentral:lncRNA from 1 species
CAUAGAACCUAUAUGCUCACAGGGAAAGAAUAAGAUGACCAGUGCACAGCGGGCAGCAGCUCUUAUUUUACGUACAACUCAAAUCCCAAACUAACCAAAGUCGCUCAGUUGGGAUGGGUGGGAGAUGGUGGUUUGUGGGAUGGCUUCUGGGUAGGAGCUGGUGGCUUCUGUCCCUUUGGUGGUUUGCCUAAUGAGCUUGGUGGCUUGUGCUCCGGGAGUUGUUUCUCUCCCUCGAGUAGGUUUCGAGUCUUGUCAGAUGGCUUGUGUUCUGGUGGUGGCUUCUCUCCCUGGGGUGGUUUGCCGAAUGGGCUUGGUGGCUUGUGUUCGGGGAGUGGCUUCUCUCCCUGGAGAAGGUUACGAGUUUUGUCAUAUGGCUUUUGUUCUGGUGGUGGCUUCUCUCCCUGGGGUGGUUUGCCGAAUGGGCUUGGUGGCUUGUGUUCGGGGAGUGGCUUCUCUCCCUGGAGAAGGUUACGAGUUUUGUCAGAUGGCUUGUGUUCUGGUGGUGGCUUCUCUCCCUGGGGUGGUUUGCCGAAUGGGCUUGGUGGCUUGUGUUCGGGGAGUGGCUUCUCUCCCUGGAGAAGGUUACGAGUUUUGUCAGAUGGCUUUUGUUCUGGUGGCGGCUUCUCUCCCUGGGGUGGUUUGCCAAAUGGGCUUGGUGGCUUGUGUUCGGGAACUGGCUUCUCUCCCUUGGGAGGUUCAGUUGGUGGCUGCUGUUCCGUAGGUGGUUUCUUCACCGGCGGCUUGUGCUCCGGAAGCGGCUUCUCUACCUGGAGAAGCUUACGAGUUUUGUCCGAUGGCUUGUGUUGUGGUGGUGGCUUCUCUCCCUGGGGUGGUUUGCCAAAUGGAGUUGGUGGCUUGUGUUCGGGGAGUGGCUUCUCUCCAUUGGGAGGUUUAGUUGGUGAUUGGUGUUCCGUAGGUGGUUUCUGAAGUGGGGGAUGCUUGGGGUAGUCAGCAAGAGACGAGGUAGUGAGAACCACCAGUCCCAGCAGCAACACUAGCAAGCAUGUGGAAGACAUCUUUGAGUUCAGGCUGAGAUCUGUGCAAGGAUAACAGAAUUAGGUGGCCUUUUAUAGAGGCCUGGACCCAACACCCAUAUGACACGUGUCAUGCACUCAUGGUGACACAUAAUUCUAUGGGACCAUUUGGGUCCUACAGAAGUUGCAAAGUUGGACUACUGAGGUGUGAUCACAACUUUUGUCCUUAUUGCUUUCUCUGCGGCCAUUGCACGAUUUCCUUUAGCAUCAUUUUCUUGGCUAAAUAAGCGUAUUAUAUUUGUGGCAGACCGUCCACGUGUCAUAAACAGAUAUAUUAUAAUAAUGUAGUAUGCUUUUCUCCAAUGGAACAUGACACUCUUCUAAGUCUUGUUUUAAAUAUUGUGCAGGAUUACUUUAUACGUUGCAGUUCCAAGUCAAAAUUGGUGGGCAAACGUUGGCCUUUUUUCAUUUCACCUAAGAUUAAUGCUCACCUGGGAUAGGCACUACAUGACUUAUCUGCUCUUUUACUGUAAAGUUGCUUUGUGUAUGAGAUACACCUCCCCUGCACACCCUCAACAUUCGUUGCUCUGUUUUCCUUGUGUCCAGACGAGGAUAUUAAUUGGAGGCUGACAAAACGACUGCUAGCCCAGGAUUUACAAGGUCCUGGUUUGAGGCUUCGGUGAAAGUAUUUUUGAAAAGACACACAUAGAGAUAGUGCGUUUGGUGCAAUGCAGCACUGUGAGCCAUUCUGACGCGUUCUUAAUUUCAAAACUAAUGAAUGCUUCAAAAUUUUAAGAAGUGACAUUUCCAAAUAUUUGAGUUCGUUUAAUUGAACAUUGGAUAACUAGUGAUCAUAGAUUAUUAUCUGUGCUUGGCACUAUAAGAGGGUAUAUGCUUCUUUUUCUGGCCCCUCCUUCAAGGGAGGAGGGACAAUGUGAUCUGUAACGUUAGAAGCUAUUCCAUGUCAUCUUUGGGCUCAGUUCAAAACUAAAAGAUAAUGGGGGGGGGGGGGGGGGGCAUAUCAUUUUAUAUUUCUUCUAGAAGGUUUGUUCUGGAAAUAUUUCACAGGAGCAUAUCUUUUUCUUCUAUUACGUCAUCCGCAGCCUCCAAUAGGUCGGUUAACAAGCCACCGAGUUGAAAAGUUGGAAAAAUGGGAACACAGCCCGCCUCUUGUAUUCAGUAGUUAAAUAAAAGGUCACUAGAAGUGAGAUCCCUUUUGGCGUCUUGAUUUUCAAUCCAGCACCUCUGUGACCUGACAAACCAAAAAAACUAAAAAAUAAAAAACAGUACGUGGGUUGGUGUUAAGCAUCAAGACAUGUUAAUGAAAGAAGGUAGAGAAUAGGAUAUUGAAAUCCCAAUCCUGAUAACAUGAUUUUCUUUGCUAACAACCAUAUUAUAUUUUAUCAAGAAAGAGUAAUGCAUGUGGCGUCCAUCAAGACCCAUUAGAGUUCCGCUAAAGCUAUAGUUCUGUCAACGUUAUCAUUUACGUUUCCUCUAGAUAAUGGCAUUUUCCUCUAAAGCUCUUGCACCAUUAGGCUUCAAGUCAAAAUUUCACAUGUGAACUUUGGAAAUUUUCUCCAUUUGCCCCUAAGGAUACAGUUAGAAUUGACUUAAAAUCCUGAUUGAUAUGUACUAUUAACCAAAGAAUAUUGUAUAUAAUAAUUGAAAUAUUGUUGAUUCAUCGUGGAAAUACAUUUUGUAAGGAAAGUUGUUGAGAAUUUAGUAUGCUAUAUGGAGAAAAAAGUCAUGACUUAAGGUUGUGUAUGUAUAUUCUAUAUCAAAUAUUAGGUAGGAAUGUGGGAAAGAGCAGAGUGUAAUGAUAAGAAACAAAGAAAUAUAAGAUAUUCUUGAAAGUGGAAAAUAUAAAAUGGCUAACGAGUCAAAUUUAUGAUGCGUAAGGGGGAUCAUGUCACAUAAGAAAACCAUGGCAUACUAAAGACGUACGUGUGGUAUGGAGUAAUAAUUUUGUUAAAAUAAGUUUCUUGUUGGAGUACAUUAGGUGACUAUUCAUAACGUAUCAAAUUAAAGAGUCAAGUGCAUCAAUGAAGGCAUAUGUAGAAAAUUUGUUUGUGACAUGUACCAUAAAGAUAAGAUUGACUUGAUAGAAUUUAGUCUAAGUAGGAGUUGUUAAAGGUGUCUUAAAUUUCUAAUUGAUGUAUAUUUUUUUCUAAAAAAAUAUUAUAUAGAUAUUUUAAUAAAUGAUUAAUUCUUUGUAAAAAUACUUACAUAAUAAAAAACAUCAUUAAAAAUAUCUUUAUAAAUAUUUUAAGUUACAAGAAGGAAAAAAACCACUGUGAGAUAAUGAUGAACAUGCAACACUGUACCAAGUAAAUAAAAAUGUGAUAAAAAAAAAAGAGAAACACUCGAUAAAGGAAGGCUCGUAUAUAAAGAGUAAUAUUUUUAAUCAUAUGAUAGAAUGAUUUUCUCUCAUUCAUGAAUAUAGGCAAGAUUGGGGAACCAUUAUAAAAUUUUGUACACCUCGUGUAAAUUGAUGUUUGUCUUCAUAUUUUACACCAACAAAUGACAUUGAAGUUGUCAUUGAUAAAAGGGAAAAGGCAUGCCUCCACACCAUGUGCUUGAUUCGAAUGGUUCAAGUUUGAAGAAUUUUCUCCGGAAGAUCUAAAACAUUUUCGCCUUUAAAUUUCAUUUGAUUAUUAAUAUCCGAAAAAAUAGUUAAAUACUCUUUCUAUUUUUGAGUUGUUGAAUUUUUUGAAAGUUUUUAUAUUUGUUAUCAAGAAUUUCUAUUUUAUUAAGGGUGAAUAUUUAUAAAUAAGAUAUUAUAUAAUAUUUGGAUAAGAGAGAAUGGUGGAAUAUAAUAAAGUUUUAAUCCUUCCCAAUUUUGAACCUUUUUUUUUUUUUUUGAUAUAAUCGCCUUUCUCUUGCAAUCCUAUUAUCAGGUACCUUAUAUUUGCUGAUGCUAUCUGGAACUAAAUUCCAAUCAGGCAUUGUCCAAUUACUAAUAGGACAGAUCAUAUCUCUCUGUUUCUAAACUAACAUGUAUCGUAAUGUGACCUCAUAAGGAAGGCUAGGAAGAUGGAGGAUUUUGUGGGAAGCGACCAGAAUCAGAUGGAAGAGAGAUAGCCCUGUUGACCUAAUGGCUGUAAUAGGAGAAGCGUGUGGUUUUAUGGGACUUAACUGAUACUAAACCUGUAUGAUGCUUGGAGUGGUGUUUCUUUCAUUUUGUUAAGAAAAUAUGGCAGCAUACAUGCUUUCAACUGAGUGCAUCAGAGCAUCCAUAACAGAUGGUCUGCAACCCUAGGUGCAUGCCACUUUCUGACUGAUAAUGAAAUUGUCAGGUACCUGGCCUUGACUAAGCUCAACAGCAUCACAUAAAGAGAAGCUUUCAUACUUAGAUUACUGUUUAAAGUUUUUGCUUAUUUGAUUUCUUAAUGCCAUUAUGACAUUAUUGAUUCAAUUCUGCUUCCGAUUUUCGAAGUUCUGGGCAUCUACUGAUUGCAUCAUUAUAUGAGAAGUUGCAUGAGUUUAUGUAUCCUGUUAUUGUUCCUUUGCGAUUUCACUGCUCACGGGACUAACCUCUCCAUUCAGUCGAAAUGAAUUGUAAUUUCUUUACUGGUAGCAGUAGUACUUUUCAUAGCAAAGAUAAUAGAAAAUAUGAAAUAUAAAUAGAAGGAAAUCUGGAUUGUAGAUAGCACCAUAAGUAACACUCAAUAUUCACUACAUAAUAAAUAGACAGUGUUACAUAGGUAGAGAAACCUACAAUGAGUACUCAUCACCAUUCUCAAACAGAAACAUAGCAGCGACUUAUACAUAGAACCUAUAGGCUCGCAGGGAAAGAGUAACAUGAUAAGUUCACAGCGGGUAGCAGCUCUUAUUUUACGUAUUACUCAAAAUCUCAAACUAACCAAAGUCACUCAGUUGGGAUGGGUAGGAGAUGGUGGUUUGUGGGGUGGCUUCUGGGUAGGAGCUGGUGGCUUCUUUGUUGGAGUUGAAGGAGGCAUAUUCUUCUGAGGUGGCUUGUAUGACUCUUCGGCACUCUCUGCAGGAGGGUGCCCAGGGUUGUGACCAGAAGGAGGUGGCUUCUGUCCCUUUGGUGGUUUGCCUAAUGGGCUUGGUGGCUUGUGCUCCGGGAGUUGUUUCUCUCCCUCGAGUAGGUUUCGAGUUUUGUCAGAUGGCUUGUGUUCUGGUGGUGGCUUCUCUCCCUGGGGUGGUUUGCCGAAUGGGCUUGGUGGCUUGUGUUCGGGGAGUGGCUUCUCUCCCUGGAGAAGGUUACGAGUUUUGUCAGAUGGCUUUUGUUCUGGUGGCGGCUUCUCUCCCUGGGGUGGUUUGCCAAAUGGGCUUGGUGGCUUGUGUUCGGGAACUGGCUUCUCUCCCUUGGGAGGUUCAUUUGGUGGCUGGUGUUCCGUAGGUGGUUCCUUCACCGGCGGCUUGUGCUCCGGAAGCGGCUUCUCUACCUGGAGAAGCUUACGAGUUUUGUCAGAUGGCUUGUGUUGUGGUGGUGGCUUCUCUCCCGGGGGUGGUUUGCCAAAUGGACUUGGUGGCUUGUGUUCGGGGAGUGGCUUCUCUCCAUGGGGAGGUUUAGUUGGUGGUUGGUGUUGCGUAGGUGGUUUCUGAAGUGGGGGAUGCUUGGGGUAGUCAGCAAUAGACGAGGUAGUGAGAACCACCAGUCCCAACAGCAACACUAGCAAGGAUGUUGAAGACAUCUUUGAGUUCAGGCUGAGAUCUGUGCAAGGAUAAAAGAUUUAGGUGGCCUUUUAUAGAGGGCUGGACCCAACACCCAUAUGACACGUGUCAUGCACUCAUGGUGACACAUAAUUCUAUGGGACCAUUUGGGUCCUACAGAAGUUGCAAAGUUGGACUAUUGAGGUGUGAUCACAACUUUUGUCCUACUUGCUUUCUCUGCGGCCAUUGCACGAUUUCCUUUAGCAUCAUUUUCUUGUCUAAAUAAGCGUAUUAUAUUUGUGGCAGACCGUCCACGUGUCAUAAACAGAUAUAUUAUAAUAAUGUAGUAUGCUUUUCUUCAACGGAACUUGACACUCUUCUAAGUCUUGUUUUAAAUACUGUGCAGGAUUACGUCAUAAGUUGCUUGUUCCAAGUCAAAAUUGGUGGGCAAACGUUGGCCUUUUUUCAUUUUCCCUAAUAUUAAUGCUCACCUGGGAUAGGCACUACAUGAUUUAUCUGCUCUUUUACUGUGAAGUUGCUUUGUGCAUGAGUUACACCUCCCCUGCACACCCUCAACAUUUGUUGCUCUGUUUUUCUUGUGUCCAGACGAGGAUAUUAAUUGGAGGCUGACAAAACGACUGCUAGCCAAGGAUUUACAAGGUCCUGGUUUGAGGCUUUCACGAAAGUAUUUUUGAAAAGAUACACAUAGAGAUUGCGCGUUCGGUGCAAUGCAACAAUGUGAGCCAUUCUGAAGUCUUAAAUUUCAGAUUAAUGAAUGCUACAAAAUUCUAAGAAGGGCCGUUUCCAAAUAUUUGAGUUCAUUCAUCCGAACAUCGGGUAUAUGCUUCUUUCUCUAGCCCCUCCUUGAAGGGAGGAGGGACAAUGUGAUCUGUAUCGUUAGAAGCUAUUCCAUGUCGUCAUCUUUGGGCUCAGUUCAAUACUAAAAGAUAUGGGCGGGGCCCUUAUCAUUUUAUAUUUCUUCUAGAAGGUUUAUUCUGGAAAUCUUUCACAGAAACAUAUCUUUUUCUUCUCUACGUGAUCCGUGGUUUGAAAGUUGGAAAAAUGGGUCCGUUAACAAGCCACCGAGUUGAAAAGUUGGAAAAAUGGCAACACCGCCAACCUCUUGUAUUCGAUAGUUAAAUAAAAGGUCACUGGAAGUGAGAUCCCUUUUGGCCUCUUGAUUUUCAUUCCAGCAUCUCUAUGGCCUGAUAAAUUAAAAAACUAAAAAAAAAGACAGUACGUGGGUUGGUGUUAAGCAUCAAGAGUCAAGACAUGAUAAUGGAGAGAAAGGAUAUUCAAAUUCCAGUUCUGACAACAUGAUUUUCUUUGCUGAACUACCAUAUUAUAUUUGAUCAAGAAAGAGUAGUGCAUGUGGCCAGGAUCAAGACAUACAUUAAUUUCCACAUGAUGAAGACAGUUUCUGAGAGUUUCUUCUAAAGCUCUUGCGCGAGUAGGCUUCAAGUCAAAAUCUCCCAUGUAAACACUGGUUUUUCUUUCAUUGCCACUAAGGAUGCAGUUAAUAUUGACUUAAGAUCCUACGUGAUAUAUUUUUUUAAAAGAGCUAUAUUGUAGAUAAUAUUUGAAAUAAUGUUGAUUCGUUGUGGAAAUAUAUUUGUAAGGAAAGUUGUUGACAAUUUAAUAUAGUAUAAGAAGAAAAAAGUUAUCAACUAGCUAGAGAUGAGUAUGUAAAGUGAGGCUCACGAUUCAACGCGUAAAUAUAAGAUAUUUUAAGGCUCAAUAGUUAUGAUAUCUAUUUUAUUUUUUGUAUCUCAUAUAUUCAAAGAUAUAGUAAAAUGAUUUUACAUAUAUAUAUAUAUAUAUAUAUGAACAUAACUAUUUGUGCCAAUUGAUUUUUAUCUUUAUUUUGUAUAUUAGUAAUUAUAUUAAAGUUUUUACUAAUAUAAUAACUAAUAUAAAAGCUUUUUCUAAAAGAGUCAACAGAGCAAAACACUUAUUAUAAAAAAUAAUUUUGAUUGAAGGUGGAGUCAAUUAUUCUUUAUUUAACAUGUAAUGCAUACGGCGUGUACUUCAUAACUAAAGUAUAUAAGUGUAACAUCUCUUAUAUAUUCUCAUUCAAUCUCGAAAGUGGAAAUUUUAAAAAGAUUAAACGGUUCAAAUUUGUCGUGCAUAAAGGGGAUCAUGUCACAUAAGCAAACCAUGGCAUACCAAAGACAUAGGUAUGGACUAAGAAUUUUUUUCAAAUAAGUUUCUUAUUAGGGUACAUUAAUAGGUGACUUUUUAUGACAUAUCAAAGGAGUCAAGUGCACCAAUAAAAACAUAUAUAGAAAAUUCAUGCAUGACAUGUAUCACUAAGAGAAGAUUGACUUGAUAGAGUUUAAUCCAAAUAGGAGAUUGUUAAAAGGUGUCUCAAAUUCUUGAUUGAUAUAUAUUUUUUUUAUUAAAAAGGUUAUUAUAUAGAUAUUUCAAUAGACUAUUAAUUCUUUGUAAAAAUAGUUAUAUAAUGAGGAUGGUGAUUAAAAAUAUCUCUAUCAAUAUUUUGGAUUAUAAAAAGAAAAAAAAUGAGAUAAUGAUAAACAUAUAAAACUUGUACAAGUAGAUAAAGAUGUGAUGAAAGACACUUGAUGAAUGAAGGCUUUGUAUUUCAAGAUAUAAAUAUAUGGAGCAAAACUCUUAAUUAUAUGAUCAAAUGAUUCUCUCAUAUUCAUGAAUAUAAGCAGGAUUGGGGAACCAUGAUAGAAUCUUAUAUGCCUCUCCAUGUAGAGUGAUCGAUGUUUAUCUUCAUAUUUUACACCAGUGAAUGACAUUGAAACUCUUAUUGAUAAAAGGGAAAAGGCAUGGCCUCCACCCCAAGAAAAACAAGUAACCUCGGUUUAAAUCACUAGUCUACACCCCGAAGAGAGAACUAGCCAAACCUACUAAAAGAGAAACUUAACAAUUUAGAAAGAAACCGUCCAUGAUAAAGGGCCCCUAAAGGUCCAAUUCAGUGAGGUCGUGAACAAAAACACUUUCAUGUCAAAACAGAGAUAGGUACCACCAAAAUGUAAAGGGAAAGAUGUAAACCACGUCGAACUUUGGUAAUCAAUGGUAAAGAUAGCAUGAUAGCUAAAAGCACUAAAGCUGUGCUUGGUAUGCAAAAAUGAAAAGUGGAAAUCAGCGUCUUAUUCUUUUUCACCUUUAUUCACAUAUUAGGAUAACUAAUAUCUAAUGUUUUUUAUGUCUCAAAUUCUAUUCCAUGUUAUGGUAAACUUUCAUCUUGUUUAGAUCACUUUUGUCUGGUUUGGGCUCAAGACGAUAAGCCUAUAGAGACUUCAUAUUGGGUUGAAUCGAUGCCCUUGAUCUGAUCUGUUCGUUAGAAAAAUCUGAAUUAUUAUAAGCAUUUAGAUAAAAAAUAAAUAAAUGUGAAACACAAACUACUCCCUGCACAACCUUGACCCUAGUUACUCAGUUUCACUGCUCACAGGACUAACCUCUCCAUUCAGUCGAAAUGAAUUGUAACAAGAAGAUUUUUGACAGGAGGACGGUAGUUUAAAAUAAUAAUUUCUAAAGUACUUUUGUGAAAAAAAAUAAUUCCAAACGUGGAUUUUAUCAAGUAAAAAGAAAAAAAAAAGUUAUUUUCUUUUAAAAUCUGUUCUUCUAAAGAUGAUAUAUAUACCAAAAAAAAAAAUUGUUUUCUGAAGGUAAAAUUUUUAAAAUUCAUUUUUAAAAAAAUUUACACACUAAAAUUAUCUUUUCAAGAGAAGAUUUUUUUAAUUUUAAAUAAUUAUUAAUUUAUAAUUAAUUUGUUAUUAAUUAUUUAUUAAUUUUUUUAUUUGAAAAAUGCAUUUAUAAAAAACAAAUUUGUUAUUAAUUUAUUAAAUAAUUUUUACAAAAUAAAUAAUUUUUUUUUAUUUUAAUUUUAAAAUUAAUUUUAUUAUAUAAAUUUUAAAAUUAAAAAUAUUAAUAUUUAAUUUAAAAUUUAACUAUAAAAGGAAUAAAAUAUAGAAAAAUAAAUUAAUUUAUUAUUCAAUAAAUUAAUUUUCAAUAAAAUUUUCAGCAUUAAGAGAUAAAUUUUUAAGUAUUAAUCAAUUUAAAAAGAAAUAAUGAUCAUUUGUAUAUUAAGAUAUUUUAUUUAGUAAUUAUGAAUGAUAAACAACUAAAGUAAUUUGAAAAAAUAAUAAAAUAUUUAAAAAAUAAUAAUUUAAUACACGUAAAAUUAGAAAUGAUUAACUAUUUUUUAUUAAGAAAAAAUUGAGGAAAUAUUUUGUUAUUUAAAAUUUUUUAUUUGUUUUCAAUUUUUAAUGUUAUAGGUUUCAAGAAAAUUGAUCAAAUAAAAAUUAAGAAGUCAUUUUUUCAAAAACUAUAUAUCUAAAUAAAAGCCUUGAAAUUCAAAUACACAAUAUCAUAAAUAUAAACACCAAGUCAAUCCUUAAUUAUCAAAUGUUUUUAAUAUUAAAGAAUCAAAAUCACCUACUAUCAUGAUAAUAAGAAAACCAAUAAUAUUGUUCAUAUAAAUACUAAAAAGCUAACAAAUAUCCCAAACAAUUAAUAAAGUAUCAAACAUGAUAAAAAGUCAAUUAUUAUCAUGAAUGCAAAAAAUCAAUAAUUUUGUUUAUAUGAACCAUCAACAAAGAAAAAAAAAAUCAAUAUCUAAAUAUUAAACAUAAUUUAUAUUUUUAUAAAUAUUAUUGUUGAUAAAUAUCUUAACAAUUAUAAUUUUAGUAAAUAAAAUUAAUUAAUUUUAGUUUAAGAAUUAUUUUUUUAUACUUUCGUAUUCUUAUCAAAAAUCCCCAUUUUGCAUGUCUCCUUUGGCAUGACUUUCUUACCUAAACAAGCAUAUAUAUAUAUAUAUAUAUAUAAAAUAUUUGGUUAAGAAAGAGUACUAAAGUUUAUAUGGCACACAUCAAGAUAGAAACAGAAGUGGAAGAUAAUCCAAAUGUAUGAACAGAUAUAUUAUAUCCAUGUAGUGGUAGUGACUUCAUUAUUUACUUUUAUCUAAUGGAGCAUGACACACUUCUUCUGAAUAUUUUGCACGAUUAUGUUAUGUGUCAGCUUGUUCUAAGUCAAAACUAGUGAUAAAAAUCGGUUUUUUUUGCAUUUCCUUCAUGAAGAUGGCACCUGGAUGGGGCACUACAUGAGUGGCAUAGCACGAAGUGAUUUAUCUGCUCCCUUUACUAUAAAGUGCUUUGUGUAUAAGUUACACCUCCCCUGCACUGCCUCAACAUUUGUUGUUCUGUCUUCCGUCUGUCCAAACGAGGACAAACGUAUGUUGUAGGUUGACAAAACCACAGCUAGCCUAGGAUUUGCAAGGAUCUAGUUUGAUUCGUAUGCAAAAGGAUUGGUGAAAAGAUUCACAAAGAUAAUGCUUUUUGCAAUGCAAUCUUGUUCUAAUUCAACAGUGUGGACCAUUUUCAUGUAAUGCUUCAACUAGAUGUCAGUUUCAUGAAUUUUUGUUCAUCUAAUUGAUCACUGGAUAGGCCAUAACCCGAAGAAAUUCAAAAUUCCCUUCAGUACUGUAGCUAAGGAAAGAUCCCUAUCUACCACUGGGAUUUUAAGAGGGUAAAAAUGUAGGUGGGUGCCUAUAUCAUUUGCACUUCACUAUAGGCCUCUUUGGGAAGAUUUCUUCUGAAGACAUUUCAAAGAAACAUAUUUUUCUCUUCUCUCCGUAAACGGCAGCUGCAAGUCAGUCCAUUCACAGGCCACCGAGUUGAAAAGGCUGGAAAAUUGGCCAAAGCACCCGCCUCCUGGAUUCCAUGGGUAAGGAAAAGGUCACUGGAGGUGUGAUCCCUGUUGGCCUCUUGAUUUCCAUUCCGCCAUCUAUAUGACCUGAUAACCCAAAAACACAGAAGGAAAACGUCACCUGGGUUCAUAGUAAGCAUCAAGUCAUGAUAGAGACCAGACAACAUGACCAACAAAGAGUAGCGAAUGGGGCCAACAUCAAGCCCCAUUACGGUUAGAAGAUGGAAGAAGUAGAAGACAAUCCAAUUCUGAUAGAUUCGGGCAAAUGUAGUGCUGUUCAAACUUAAUCAUUUACUAUUUCUUCAUGAAUCACGGCAUUUUUCUUCUGAAAAUUUUCCAAGAUUAGGCCUCUGAAGAAAAAUUUCAUAUGUAAAUUGGUAUAUUAAGGAAAAGGCGUUACAAAGGUGAAAAAAAACCAAUCAAAUCUUAUAUAUGACAUCUCAAAAAUAUGAACUUGCUAUAAAUAUUUAAAAUCAAAAUCUUGCACAUCACCUCGUAGUACGAACUUGCUAUAAAACUUGAAAAUCAAGAAGAAAGGGGCAGUAUUGGACGAGACUACUUAGCACAUAUUAUUAUGAUGUUUUUUCAUUUUCUUAAUGUUGUUUUUAUGUCUUAAAUUCUAUUAUUCUAUGUUACGGUAAACAUUCAUCUUGUUUGUGUGGAAUAGGAUCACUUUUCUCUGGGUUGAGUCGAUGCCCUUAGUUAAUUUGUUCAUUUGAAUAAACUAAAUUAUUAUAAGUAUUUAGAUAAGAAAAACGUGAUACAUAAAUUACGCCUCUCGGCACAACUUCAACACUGGUUACUCUGUUUCAGUUUCCUCACACAAGAUUAUUGGUUCUAGGGUUUAUUUGGUUUUGGUUUGAUUCUAAUUGCUAAACUUUCUCAAGGAAGAUGUUAUAUAGGGAGUGAGAAACCUUCACUCUUGGCUACCUCCAAGAGAAGAGCAAGUGGUCUGAAUCAAAGAUAUACUGCUCACUUUUUCUUCUUCUAAGGACAGCUAUGACCUUGCUUUAAGGUUCGAAUAGCCUAAUGCAACCUCCCAUUUCUCAAGUCAGCUGAUGAUGUAAGUCACCUUGGCUUUCCACAUUCAUACGGUGAGGACGUUUGUGGGUGUAAUUCUCUUAACAGUUUUCAUUUUAUAUGGAAAAAUUCAUAAUUAAGGGUAAUUACUGAUUCCAUUUGACAGUGACCAAGUUUAAAAUAUUAAUUCAUAUAUUAAAUGCACAUUAAAAAAUCAUGGAAUAAAUAUAUUUACUAAUAUAUAGUUCUUUUGCCAUGUUCUGUCACAGAAGCAUCGAACUUUCCCUAGAAAUUUUUGCAUGGUAUUCUACUUAUGAUUUUGAAAACUCUAGGCACCUGAGGCCACUAAUUGCAUGGUUGGAUGAGGAGCUGCAUGAGAUUAUGUAUCGUGUUGUUCCUUAACUACAAAUAUCAGUUUUAAGUAGCAUCUCCAUGUGACAUUUUCCUGAUGCAAUUUCGCUGUCCACCAACAAAUUUCACCAUGCAGCAAGAUGAAUUGUAAUUUCUUUAUUGUUAUCAACAGCUUUAAUUAAUCUUGAUAUAUAUAUAUAACUUAGUAGAAGUAUAUUAAUCUAGAUUGUAGUUGCACUAAGAUAAUAGGCAAUAUUAUAACAGUGCCACAAUGCUCAUCGCCAAAUAGAAAGGUAGAAAAACUACAAUGAGUAACUCACAACAUUCUCAAACAGGACAUAGCGGCGACUGAUACAUAGAACACUAUUGGCACUCAGGAAAUGAUAAGAUCAGUGCCCAGCAGGCAGCACGUCUUAUUUUACAUACUACUUAAAACUAACCAAAGUCAUUCAGUUGGGAUGGGUGGGAGAUGGUGGUUUGUGCGGUGGCUUUUGGGUAGUUGGUGGCUUCUUUCCUGGAACUGAUGGUUUUUUUGUUGGAGUUGAAGGAGGCUUAAUCGUCUGAGGUGGCUUGUAUGAGUCUUCAGCACUCUCUGCGGGAGGGUGCCCAGGGUUGUGACCAUAAUGGGGUGGCUUCUCUCCCUUAGUUGGUUUGCCAAGUGGGCUGGCUGGCUUGUGCUCCGGGAGCGGCUUCUCUCCCUUAGGUGGUUUGCCAAAUGGGCUUGCUGGCUUGUGCUCUGGGAGCGGCUUCUCUCCCUCAAGAAGUUUACGGGUUUUGUCAGAUGGCUUGUGUUCUGGUGGUGGCUUCUCUCCUUGGGGUGGUUUGCCAAAUGGACUUGGUGGCUUGUGUUCGGGGAGUGGCUCCUCUCCCUUGGGAGGUUUAGUUGGUGGCUGGUGUUCCAUAGGUGGUUUCUCAACCGGGGGCUUGUUCUCCGUUGGUGGUUUAUGAACUGGGGGAUGCUUGGGGUAGUCAGCAAGAGACGGGGUGGUGAGAACCACCAGUCCCAGCAGCAACACUAGCAAGUAUGUGGAAGAGUACAUCUUUGAGUUCAGGCUGAGAUUUGUGCGAGACUUGAAGAAUUAGGUGGCCUUUUAUAGCUGGCUGCACCCAACACUCACAUGACACGUAUCAUGGUGACACAUGUGCUAUGGGUCCAUUUGGGUCCUACAGAAGCUGAAAACUUUUGACUAUUGAGGUGUGGUCACAACUUUUGUCCCUAUUGCUUUCUCCGCAACCGUUUUACAUGUUUCCUUUGGCAUAAUUUUCUAAGCUAAACAAGCAUAUAUCAUAUUUGGUUAAGAAAGAGUAAAGUGUAUAUGGCACACAUCAAGGAAGAGAAACAGAAAAAGUGGGAGACAAUCAAUUGUGAUAAACAGAUAUAUUAUAUUCAUGUAGUACUAGUGACUUUAUCAUUUACUUUUAUCCAAUAGAUCAUCACUCUUUCUUCUAAAUAUUUUGGAGGAUAAUGGUACAUGUUGCUUGUUUCCAAGUCAAAAUUGGUGGCAAAAAUCGGCAUGAUACGAAAGGAUUGGUGAAAAGAUUCACAUAGAUGGUGCUUUGUGCAAUGCAGUCUUGCUCUAAUUCAACAGAGUGGACCAUGGUGAUGUAUUUUAAAUUUUAAAUUUUAAAUUAAUGCAUGCUUCAAAGUUUUAACUAGAUGUCACUUCCAUGGAUUUUUGUUCAUUUAAUUGAGCACAGGAUAGGCUAUCAAACUUGAAGUAAUAUAAAAAUCCCUUCAUUACUGUAACUAAUGAAAGAUCAUUAUCUGCGCUUGGUAUUUUGCCAAGGUAUUUGCUGCUCUUUCUAGCCCUGUCUUACAGUUAAGGACAAUGUGAUCUAGUUAACCUUAGAAGCUAUUCCAUGUCAGAUACAAGAGAUCAAGCACAUUAUCUUUGGGCUCAGUUCAAAACUAUAAUAUAUGGGUGGGGUGGAGGCCCAUAUCAUUUGCAUAUCACCACUAUUGGUUUAGUUUGGAAGGUUUCUUCUGGAAGAUUGCUGCUUUCUGGAAUCAUUUCAAAGAAAUAUAUCUUUUUGUUCUCUUGGUGACGAGCAGCGGCAAUCAAGUCUGUUGACAAACAACCGAGUUGAAAAGUUUGAAAAUUGGUCACAGCCCACGUCCAUGGUUAAGGAAAAGGUCACUGGAAGUGAUCCCUUCUGGGCCUCUUGAUUUCCAUUCUGACAUCUAUAUGACCUGAUAAAUAGAAAGAAAAAAAAACAGAAGAAAAGCGGCACCCGGGUUCAUAGUAAGCAUCAAGACAGGAUACUGAAAGAAGGGAGAAAGGAGAUUGCAAGUCCAAUCCUGAUAAAAUGAUCAACAAAGAGUAUCAAAAUGGGGCCAACAUAAAGACCCAUUGAGGUUAGCAGAUGGCAUGGCAUUUUUCUCCUUAAGUUUUCCAUGAUUAGACUUGAAGUCAAAAUUUCACAUGUAAAUUUGUAUUUCUACAUUUCCCACUGACGACACCCAACUUCAACUUGAGUUAGAAUAACAUUGUGUGAACUUAUCUGGCCCUCAAAAUUUACUGUGAAGUGCUUUCUGCGUGUGAAGAUUCAGAAAAGCACCAAGGGAACAUGUAUGGUCUGCCUUUUUCUGAUGUUAUGUUUGUCUCUAAUUCUGUUCCAUGUCAUGGUAAAUGUUCACAUUGCUUGUAUGGAACACACCAGGAUCACUUUUUCGGGUUUAUUUUGAGGCUUCAUAUUGGGUUCAUAUUGGGUUCAAUGCUUUUAAUGUGUUCAUUAGACAAAUCUGAAUUAUCAUAUGCAUUUAGAUAAGAACAAUAAUGUGAAACCCUAGUUACACCUCCCCUGCAUAACCCCAACCCUGCUUACUCUAUUUCAGUUUACUCACACAAGUUUUACCGGUUCUUAUAAGUCAAGAAAAGGCAACUGAUGUUGGAUUGACUCUCUUCCAUGUAUAAAAAGCAACUUUUAUAUAUACAUAAAAUAACUUCUUCCCCUCACCAAUGUGGGAUAUCAUGGAUUUAUUCUGGAAACACAUCAAAGGAACAUCUUUUCUCUUGGGUGACCCUAAGUGGUGAGUCAGACCAUUUGCAUGCCAUUGAGUUGCACAGUUGGAUAAAUGCACCUACCUCCUGGGCUCCAGAGUUAAAAGGGUGGAUCCCUGGAUCGCAACCCUCUUGGCAUCUUGGUUUCCAUUCCAACAUCCACAUGACUUGACAAAACAAAAAACAGAAUAAAAUCAUCACUAUUUUCAUGCUAAGCACCAAUACAUGAUGGAAAUCAUUGCUUAAAGAUUUGGGGUCAUUUAGGUUUUGACUGCCUCCUAACACCUCACCUAAUCACAAGUUUUUAUGCUUACAAAUCAAAUAUCGUUCUUCAUUAUAUUAAAAUCAUUUUAAGAUUUCAGAUCCAUCUGCUAAUUAUGAUUAUGAUAACAUUAAUUCACCUGUGCUUCUCAUUUUCGACACACAAGGCAUCUAGGUUUGCAGGAUUUCCUUAUUAGAUGAGAUAAAUGAGUACGCAUGGUUAUGUAUGCAGCAUUCAUUAACCAUGGUAUGUGACAUUUAGAAUUAAGAUAGCAAGCAAACUUUCCCUGCAGCUUGAGUAAAUUGUGAUUUCUUAGCCUCUAUGAGUGGUUCCCAAAUCAAAUUAACAUAGUGAAAUAUACGUAGUCCAGUGAAAGGAAAUGUAAAUUAUAAACUAACAGCACUACACUACUGGUAACACUCGAUACUCUCUAUAUAAUGCAAUGAAAUAUACGUUAUACGUUGCUUGUUCCAAGUCAAAAUUUGUGGCCAAACGUUGGCCUUUUUUCAUUUUCCCUAAGAUUAAUGCUCACCUGGGAUAGGCACUACAUGAUUUAUCUGCUCUUUUACUGUAAAGUUGCUUUGUGUAUGAGUUACACCUCCCCUGCACACCCUCAACAUUUGUUGCUCUGUUUUCCUUGUGUCCAGACGAGGAUAUUAAGUGGGGGCUGACAAAACGACUGCUAGCCAAGGAUUUACAAGGUCCUGGUUUGACGCUUCCGCGAAAGUAUUUUUGAAAAUAUACACAUAGAGAUUGCGCGUUCGGUGCAAUGCAACAAUGUGAGCCAUUCUGAAGUUUUUAAUUUCAGAUUAAUGAAUGCUACAAAAUUCUAAGAAGGGCCGUUUCCAAAUAUUUGAGUUCAUUUAUCCGAACAUCGGAUAAGUAAUGAUCAUAGAUUAUUAUUAUUAUCUGACGUUCUUAUAAUGGUUGGCAUUAUAAGAGGGUAUAUGCUUCUUUCUCUAGCCCCUCCUUCAAGGGAGGGACAAUGUGAUCUGUAUCGUUAGAAGCUAUUCCAUGUCGUCAUCUUUUGGCUUAAGUCAAUACUAAAAUAUAUGGGCGGGGCCCCUGUCAUUUUAUAUUUCUUCUAGAAGGUUUGUUCUGGAAAUCUUUCACCGAAACAUAUCUUUUUCUUCUCUACGUGAUCCGUGGUUGGAAAGUUAGAAAAAUGGGUCCGUUCACAAGCCACCGAGUUGAAAAGUUGGAAAAAUGGCAACACCGCCAACCUCUUGUAUUCGAUAGUUAAAUAAAAGGUCACUGGAAGUGAGAUCCCUUUUGGCCUCUUGAUUUUCAUCCCAGCAUCUCUAUGUCCUGAUAAACUAAAAAACUAAAAAAAAAACAGUACGUGGGUUGGUGUUAAGCAUCAAGAGUCAAGACAUGAUAAUGGAGAGAAAGGAUAUUCAAAUUCCAGUUCUGACAACAUGAUUUUCUUUCCUGAACAACCAUGUUAUAUUUGAUCAAGAAAGAGUAGUGCAUGUGGCCAGGAUCAAGACAUACAUUAAUUUCCACAUGAUGAAGACAGUUUCUGAGAGUUUCUUCUAAAGCUCUUGCGCUAGUAGGCUUCAAGUCAAAAUUUCCCAUGUAAACACUGGAUUUUCUUUAAUUGCCACUAAGGAUACAGUUAAAAUUGACUUAAAAUCCUACGUGAUAUAUAUCUUUAACAAAAGUAUAUUGUAUAUAAUAUUUGAAAUAAUGUUGAUUCGUUGUGGAAAUAUGUUUGUAAGGAAAGUUGUUGACAAUUUAAUAUAGUAUAAGAAGAAAAAAGUUAUCAACUAGAGAUGAGUAUGUAAAGUGAGGCUCACGAUUCAACGCGUAAAUAUAAGAUAUUUUAAGGCUCAAUAGUUAUGAUAUCUAUUUUAUUUUUUGUAUCCCAUAUAUUCAAAGAUACAGUAAAAUGAUUUUAUAUAUAUGAACAUAGCCGAUAGUAUCAUGUUAAAACCUUAUAUGACUCUUUGUGCCAAUUGAUUUUUAUCUUUAUUUUGUGUAUUAGUAAUUAGUAUUAAAGUUUUUACUAACAUAAUAAUUGAUAUAAAAGCUUUUUCCAAAAGAGUCAAACAGAGCAAAACACUUAUUAUAAAAAGAAUUUUGAUUGAAGGUGGAGUCAAUUAUUCUUUAUUCAACAUGUGAUGCAUACAGCGGGUACUUCAUAACUAAAGUAUAUAAGUGCAACAUCUCUUAUACAUUCUCAUUCAAUCUCGAAAGUGGAAAAUUUUAAAAGAUUAAAUGGUUCAAAUUUUCCGUGCAUAAAGGGGAUCAUGUCACAUAACCAAACCAUGGCAUACCAAAGCCAUGAUAUGGACUAAGAAUUUUGUUAAAAUAAGUUUCUUAUUAGGGCACAUUAUGUGACUAUUUAUGACAUAUCAAAGGAGUCAAGUGCAUCAAUAAAGACAUAGAAAAUUCAUGCAUCACAUGUACCACUAAGAGAAAAUUGACUUGAUAGAGUUUAGUCCAAAUAGGAGAUUGUUAAAAGGUGCAUCAAAUUCUUGAUUGAUAUAUAUUUUUUUUAUUAGAAAGGUUAUUAUAUAGAUAUUUCAAUAGACUAUUAAUCCUUUGUAAAAAUAGUUAUAUAAUGAGGAUGGUGAUUAAAAAUAUCUCUAUCAAUAUUUUGGAUUAUAAAAAGAAAAAAAAUAUGAGAAAAUGAUAAACAUAUAAAACUUGUACAAGUAGAUAGAGAUGUGAUGAAAGACACUUGAUGAAUGGAGGCCUUGUAUUUCAAGAUGUAAAUAUAUGGAGCAAAACUCUUAAUUAUAUGAUCAAAUGAUUCUCUCAUAUUCAUGAACAUAAGCAGGAUUGGGGAACCAUGAUAGAAUCUUAUAUGCCUCUCCAUGUAGAUUGAUCGAUGUUUAUCUUCAUAUUUUACACCAAUGAAUGACAUUGAAACUCUGAUUGAUAAAAGGGAAAAAGCAUGGCCUCCACCACAAGAAAAACAAGUAACCUCGGUCUAAAUCACUAGUCUACACCCCGAAGAGAGAACUAGCCAAACCUACUAAAAGAGAAACUUACCAAUUUAGAAAGAAAUCUUCCAUGAUAAAGGGCCCCUAAAAGUCCAAUUCAGUCAGGUUGUGAACAAAAACACCUUCAUGUCAAAACAGGAAUAGGUACCACCAAAAUGUAAAGGGAAAGAUGUAAACCAAGUCGAACUUUGGUAAACAAUGGUAAAGAUAGCAUGAUAGCUAAAAGCACUAAAGCUGUGCUUGGUAUGCAAAAAUGAAAAGUGGAAAUCAGCGUCUUAUUCUUUUUCUCCUUUAUUCACAUAUUAGGAUAACUAAUAUCUAAUGUUUUUUUUAUGUCUCAAAUUCUAUUCCAUGUUAUGGUAAACUUUCAUCUUGUUUAAGUGGAAGAGUAGGAUCACUUUUGUCUGGUUUGGGCUCAAGACGAUAAGCCUAUAGAGACUUCAUAUUGGGUUGAAUUGAUGCCCUUGAUCCGAUCAGUUCGUUAGAAAAAUCUGAAUUAUUAUAAGCAUUUAGAUAAAAUAAAUAAAUAAAUGUGAAACAGAGACUAUUCUCUGCACAACCUUGACCCUAGUUACUCAGUUUCACUGCUCACGGGACUAACCUCUCCAUUCAGUCGAAAUGAAUUGUAAUUUCUUUACUGGUAGCAGUAGUACUUUUCAUAGCAAAGAUAAUAGUAAAUAUGAAAUAUAAAUAUAUAGAAGGAAAUCUGGAUUGUAGAUAGCACCAUAAGUAACACUCAAUAUUUACUACAUAAUAAAAGAGAUAGUGUUACAAAGGUAGAGAAACCUACAAUGAGUACUCAUCACCAUUCUCAAACAGAAACAUAGCAGUGACUUAUACAUAGAACCUAUAGGCUCGCAGGGAAAGAGUAACAUGAUAAGUGCACAGCGGGUAGCAGCUCUUAUUUUACGUAUUACUCAAAAUCUCAAACUAACCAAAGUCACUCAGUUGGGAUGGGUAGGAGAUGGUGGUUUGUGGGGUGGCUUCUGGGUAGGAGCUGGUGGCUUCUUUGUUGGAGUUGAAGGAGGCGUAAUCUUCUGAGGUGGCUUGUAUGAGUCUUUGGCACUCUCUGCAGGAGGGUGCCCAGGGUUGUGACCGGAAGGAGGUGGCUUCUGUCCCUUUGGUGGUUUGCCUAAUGGGCUUGGUGGCUUGUGCUCCGGGAGUUGUUUCUCUCCCUCGAGUAGGUUUCGAGUUUUGUCAGAUGGCUUGUGUUCUGGUGGUGGCUUCUCUCCCUGGGGUGGUUUGCCGAAUGGGCUUGGUGGCUUGUGUUCGGGGAGUGGCUUCUCUCCCUUGGCAGGUUCAGUUGGUGGCUGGUGCUCCGUAGGUGGUUUCUUCACCGCCGGCUUCUCUCCCUGGAGAAGGUUACGAGUUUUGUCAGAUGGCUUCUGUUCUGGUGGCGGCUUCUCUCCCUGGGGUGGUUUGCCAAAUGGGCUUGGUGGCUUGUGUUCGGGAACUGGCUUCUCUCCCUUGGCAGGUUCAGUUAGUGGCUGGUGUUCCGUAGGUGGUUUCUUCACCGGCGGCUUGUGCUCCGGAAGCGGCUUCUCUACCUGGAGAAGCUUACGAGUUUUGUCAGAUGGCUUGUGUUGUGGUGGUGGCUUCUCUCCCUGGGGUGGUUUGCCAAAUGGACUUGGUGGCUUGUGUUCGGGGAGUGGCUUCUCUCCAUUGGGAGGUUUAGUUGGUGGUUGGUGUUCCGUAGGUGGUUUCUGAAGUGGGGGAUGCUUGGGGUAGUCAGCAAGAGACGAGGUAGUGAGAACCACCAGUCCCAGCAGCAAUACUAGCAAGGAUGUGGAAGACAUCUUUGAGUUCAGGCUGAGAUUUGUGCAAGGCUAGAAGAAUUAGGUGGCCUUUUAUAGCGGGCUGGACCCAACAACCAAAUGACACGUAUCAUGAUACACAUAUGUGUUAUAAGAUCCUUGUGGGUCCUACAGAAGUUGAAAACUUUGACAAUUGAGGUGUGAUUACAACUUUUGUCCCUAUUGCUUUCUCGUCAGCCGUUUUGCAAGAUUUUUGACAGGAGGACGGUAGUUUAAAAUAAUAAUUUCUAAAGUACUUUUGUGAAAAAAAAUAAUUCCAAACGUGGAUUUUAUCAAGUAAAAAAAACAAAAAAAAGUUAUUUUCUUUUAAAAUCUUUUCUUCAUGAUUCAUAUACCAAAAAAAGAAUUGUUUUCUGUAGGUAAAAUUUUUAAAAUUCAUUUUUAAAAAAAAAAAAUUACACACUAAAAUUAUCUCUUCAAGAAAAUAUUUUUUAAAUUUUAAAUAAUUAUUAAUUUAUAAUUAAUUUUUUAUUAAUUAUUUAUUAAAUUUAUAUGUGAAAAAUGCAUUUAUAAAAAACAAAUUUUUUAUUAAUUUAUUAAAUAAUUAUUUACAAAAUAAAUAAUUUUGCUUUAUUUUAAUUUUAAAAUUAAUUUUAUUAUAUAAAUUUUAAAAUUAAAAAUAUUAAUAUUUAAUUUAAAAUUUAACUAUAAAAGGAAUAAAAUAUAGAAAAAUAAAUUAAUUUAUUAUUCAAUAAAUUAAUUUUCAAUAAAAUUUUCAGCAUUAAGAGAUAAAUUUUUAAGUAUUAAUCAAUUUAAAAAAUAAUAAUAAUCAUUUGUAUACUAAGAUAUUUUAUUUAGUAAUUAUGAAUGAUAAACAACUAAAGUAAUUUGAAAAAAUAAUAAAAUAUUUAAAAAUAAUAAUUUAAUACACUUAAAAUUAGAAAUGAUUAACUAUUUUUUAUUAAGAAAAAAUUGAAGAAAUAUUUUGUUAUUUAAAAUUUUUUAUUUGUUUUCAAUUUUAAAUGUUAUAGGUUUCAAGAAAAUUGAUCAAAUAAAAAUUAAGAAGUCAUUUUUUCAAAAACUAUAUAUCUAAAUAAAAGCCUUGAAAUUCAAAUACACAAUAUCAUAAAUAUAAACACCAAGUCAAUCCUUAAUUAUCAAAUGUUUUUAAUAUUAAAGAAUCAAAAUCACCUACUAUCAUGAUAAUAAGAAAACCAAUAAUAUUGUUCAUAUAAAUACUAAAAAGCUAACAAAUAUCCCAAACAAUUAAUAAAGUAUCAAACAUGAUAAAAAGUCAAUUAUUAUCAUGAAUGCAAAAAAUCAAUAAUUUUGUUUAUAUGAACCAUCAACAAAGAAAAAAAAAAUCAAUAUCUAAAUAUUAAACAUAAUUUAUAUUUUUAUAAAUAUUAUUGUUGAUAAAUAUCUUAAUAAUUAUAAUUUUUUAUAUAUUAAAUUUAGUAAAUAAAAUUAAUUAAUUUUAUAAUAUAAGAUAUAUAUAAUAAUUAAGAGACUAUUUGUCCCAAACAAUUUAUUUAUUUUUUUUUUAGGAAAUUGUCUCUUCAAGAGACGACUUCUCCCAACAUUUUUAAAAAAAAAAAAAAAAACAUCUAUUCAAAAGACGAUUUCUCCUCAUUUUUUAAAAAUGAAUUUUAGAAAUCAUAUUUUCAAAAAUGAAUUUUAGAAAUCAUAUUUUCAAAAGACGAUUUUUUUUUAUAUAAAUUAUUUUUUAAAAUGACGAUUUUAAAAGGAAAUAACGAUCUCUCUCCUACUUGGCAAAAACUAUGGUAAAUUUGGAAUUAUUUCUUCCACAACCAUAGUUUAAGAAUUAUUUUUUUAUACUUUCGUAGACUUAUCAAAAAUCCCUAUUUUGCAUGUCUCAUUUGGCAUGACUUUCUUACCUAAACAAGCAUAUAUAUAUAUAUAUAUAUAUAUAUCACUUUUGUCUGGGUUGAGUCAAUGCCCUUAACUAAUUUGUUCAUUUGAAUAGUCUAAAUUAUUAUAAGCUUUUAGUUAAGAAAAAUGUGAAACAUAAAUUACACCUCUCGGCACAACUUCGACACUGGUUACUCUGUUUCAGUUUAUUCACACAAGAUUAUUGGUUCUAGGGUUUAUUUGGUUUUGGUUUGAUUCUAAUUGCUAAACUUUCUCAAGGAAGAUGUUAUAUAGGGAGUGAGAAACCUUCACUCCUGGCUACCUCCAAGAGAAGAGCAAGUGGUCUGAAUCAAAGAUAUACUGCUCACUUUUUCUUCUUCUAAGGACAGCUAUGACCUUGCUUUAAAAUGUUCGAAUAGCCUAAUGCAACCUCCCAUUUCUCAAGUCAGCUGAUGAUGUAAGUCACCUUGGCUUUCCACAUUCAUACGGUGAGGACGUUUGUGGGUGUAAUUCUCUUAACAGUUUUCAUUUUAUAUGGAAAAAUUCAUAAUUAAGGGUAAUUACUGAUUCCAUUUGACAGUGACCAAGUUUAAAAUAUUAACUCAUGUAUUAAAUGCACAUUAAAAAAUCAUGGAAUAAAUAUAUUUACUAAUAUAUAGUUCUUUUGUCAUGUUCUGUCACAGAAGCAUCGAACUUUCCCUAGAAAUUUUUGCAUGGUAUUCUGCUUAUGAUUUUGAAAACUCUAGGCACCUAAGGCCACUGAUUGCAUGGUUGGAUGAGGAGCUGCAUGAGAUUAUGUAUCCUGUUGCUCCUUAACUACAAAUAUCAGUUUUAAGUAGCAUCUCCAUGUGACAUUUUCCUGAUGCAAUUUCGCUGUCCACCAACAAAUGUCUCCAUGCAGCUAGAUGAAUUGUAAUUUCUUUGUUGUUAUCAACAGCUUUAAUUAAUCUUGAUAUAUAUAUAACUUAGUAGAAGUAAUUAAUCUAGAUUGUAGUUGCACUAAGAUAAUAGGCAAUAUUAUAACAGUGCCACAAUGCUCAUCGCCAAAUAGAAAGGUAGAAAAACUACAAUGAGUAACUCACACAACAUUCUCAAACAGGACAUAGCGGCGACUGAUACAUAGAACACUAUUGGCACUCAGGAAAUGAUAAGAUCAGUGCCCAGCAGGCAGCACGUCUUAUUUUACAUACUACUUAAAACUAACCAAAGUCAUUCAGUUGGGAUGGGUGGGAGAUGGUGGUUUGUGCGGUGGCUUCUUUCCUGGAACUGGUGGUUUUUUUGUUGGAGUUGAAGGAGGCUUAAUCGUCUGAGGUGGCUUGUAUGAGUCUUCAGCACUCUCUGCAAGAGGGUGCCCAGGGUUGUGACCAUAAUGAGGUGGCUUCUCUCCCUUAGGUGGUUUGCCAAGUGGGCUGGCUGGCUUGUGCUCCGGGAGCGGCUUCUCUCCCUUAGGUGGUUUGCCAAAUGGGCUUGCUGGCUUGUGCUCUGGGAGCGGCUUCUCUCCCCCAAGAAGUUUGCGGGUUUUGUCAGAUGGCUUGUGUUCUGGUGGUGGCUUCUCUCCUUGGGGUGGUUUGCCAAAUGGACUUGGUGGCUUGUGUUCGGGGAGUGGCUCCUCUCCCUUGGGAGGUUUAGUUGGUGGCUGGUGUUCCGUAGGUGGUUUCUCAACCGGGGGCUGGUGCUCCGUAGGUGGUUUAUGAACUGGGGGAUGCUUGGGGUAGUCAGCAAGAGACGGGGUGGUGAGAACCACCAGUCCCAGCAGCAACACUAGCAAGUAUGUGGAUGACAUCUUUGAGUUCAGGCUGAGAUUUGUGCAAGACUAGAAGAAUUAGGUGGCCUUUUAUAGCUGGCUGCACCCAACACUCACAUGACACGUAUCACGGUGACACAUGUGCUAUGGGAUCCAUUUGGGUCCUACAGAAGUUGAAAACUUUUGACUAUUGAGGUGUGAUCACAACUUUUGUCCCUAUUGCUUUCUCCGCAACCGUUUUACAUGUUUCCUUUGUGGUGUUUAAUAGUGUUUUUUUCCUUAAUUCUAAAUAAACCUUAAUACUUAAUAAUGUUAAAUAUUAGGUUAUUUAUUUUUAUAAUAUUUUAUUUAUAUUAAGUAUUAAAAAGUAAAGAAAAAUCAAUAUAUUUAUUUUUCUAUUUAGAAAAAACUAUAUAUUUUUAAUUUUUUUAUUUAAUAAAAAAUUUAUAAUAAAUCAUGAAAAAAUAGAAAAACAAACAACCUAAAUUUUAAAAAUAAAUUGUUUUUAGUAAAAACCCAAAAAAACAAACACCACCUUAACUAAACAAAUAUAUAUUAUAUUUAGUUAAGAAAGAGUAAAGUGUAUAUGGCUCAAAUCAAGGAAGAGAAACAGAAUAAGUGGAAGACAAUCAAUUGUGAUAAACAGAUAUAUUACAUGCAUGUAGUACUAGUGACUUUAUCAUUUACUUUUAUACAAUAGAUCAUCACACUCUUUCUUCUAAAUAUUUUGGAGGAUAAUGGUACAUGUUGCUUGUUGCCAAGUCAAAAUUGGUGGCAAAAAUCGGCAUGAUACGAAAGGAUUGGUGAAAAGAUUCACAUAGAUGGUGCUUUGUGCAAUGCAGUCUUGCUCUAAUUCAACAGAGUGGACCAUGGUGAUGUAUUUUAAAUUUUAAAUUUUAAAUUAAUGCAUGCUUCAAAGUUUUAACUAGAUGUCACUUCCAUGGAUUUUUGUUCAUUUAAUUGAGAACAGGAUAGGCUAUCAAACUUGAAGUAAUAUAAAAAUCCCUUCAUUACUGUAACUAAUGAAAGAUCAUUAUCUGCGCUUGGUAUUUUGCCAAGGUAUUUGCUGCUCUUUCUAGCCCUAUCUUACAGUUAAGGACAAUGUGAUCUAGUUAACCUUAGAAGCUAUUCCAUGUCAUAUACAAGAGAUCAAGCACAUUAUCUUUGGGCUCAGUUCAAAACUAUAAUAUAUGGGUGGGGUGGGGGCCUAUACCAUUUGCAUAUCACCACUAUUGGUUUAGUUUGGAAGGUUUCUUCUGGAAGAUUGCUUUCUGGAAACAUUUCAAAGAAAUAUAUCUUUUUGUUCUCUUGGUGACGAGCAGCGGCAAUCAAGUCUGUUGACAAACAACCGAGUUGAAAAGUUUGAAAAUUGGUCACAGCCCACGUCCAUGGUUAAGGAAAAGGUCACUGGAAGUGAUCCCUUCUGGGCCUGUUGGAAGCAGGGGAGGUUAACACACCAAGCAACAAAGAACAGAGAUAUGCUGCUACUGAUCUAUAUUUUUUAUUUGAUCAUAAGGCUAAAUUUAUACAGAUUGUGUAACAGAUAUGACCUCAAAAAAAAGCAUCAAAUCAAGCUACUUGUUGAACAAACAACUACCUUCUACAAAAUAACAUCAAAAUUUAACUUAAAAGCAAAAACAUAAAAAUAGCAACAGCAAAAAUAGAAACAUAAAAAUAGCUUCAGCAUUCUAGUAAUCUCGUUGACUUCAAUUGCAUGUGGUUGACGAUUUCAGCCUUUUCCUCAGCAGCUACUAAGGCAUAACUCUCAACACUCCUCCUUGACUUAGGAGGUGCAAACUCCAAGUCUUUCUCAUAGAAACUCAAAUCUUAUUUUAGGAAGAGCUUUAGUCAGAAUAUCUACAUUUUGACUGUCUGUAUUGCAGUAGACUAGUUGUAUAUCUCCUUCUUUCUGUACUUCCCUCAAAAAUUACAAUUUAAUCUUGAAGUGCUUUGUUUUACCAUGAAAAACUGGAUCAUUUGCAAUAGAUAUAGUGGCCUGGUUGUCUACAAACACCUUUGUACUCACUUCUUGCUUCAUAUCCAAAUCUGUCAGCAACUUUCCAAGCCAUAAGGCUUGAUUUACAGCUGUAACAGCAGCAAUAUACUCUGCCUCAGCUGUGGAUUGAGCCACGACUUCUUGCUUCCUUGAACUCCAUGAAAAAACACCAGAACCAAAACUAAAACAAUAGCCUGAAGUACUUCUCAUAUCGUCAACACAACCAGCCCAAUCACUAUCAGAAAAUCCAUGAAAAUUGAAACUUUGAACUUGACUGAACUUAAUGCCAUAAUCCACAGUGCCUUUAACAUUUCUUAUCACACGCUUUGCUGCCUGGAAAUGAAUUUCACUAGCACAAUGCAUGUAUCUCGAAAGUAGACUUACAGCAUGCAUUAUAUCGAGUCUUGUUGCAGUCAAGUACAUUAAGCAUCCAAUCAUGCUUCGAUAAAGUCCUUCAUCUACCUUUUUAGCACCGUCCUCCUUACAGAACUUCUCUUUCUGGUUCAUAGGGGUAGAUGUAGGUUUGCAUUCCUCCAUUUUGAAUUUCUUCAUAAUUUCUUUGGCAUAUUUUUGUUGGCAGAUGAAAAUCUCAUUCUGCUUCUGGUGUACUUCCAUUCCCAAGAAGUAAGACAUCUCAUCUAGGUCUGUCAUCUCAAAAACCUGCUCCAUUUCAGCCUUGAAUUUGUUCACAAACCCUGCAUUACUUCCUGUUACAAGCAAAUCAUCAACAUAUAGAGAAACAAUUAAUAUAUCUUCUUCAAUCUUCUUAAUGUAGAGUGUAAAUUCACUCAAGCUCUUGUGAAAGCCUAAAGUUAGCAGGUGAGUGUCAAUCCUGCUGUACCAAGCUCUAGGGGCUUGUCUUAACCCAUACAAGGCCUUCUUAAGAAGGUAUACUUUUUCUUCUUUUCCUUUGAUAGCAAAACCUUCUGGUUGUUCGACAAAAAUCUCUUCCUCUAAGUAGCCAUUCAAAAAUGCUGACUUCACAUCUAGUUGAUAAAUCUUCCAUUUUCUUUGAGCUACAAGAGCCAACAACAUCCUGAUUGUAUCCAAACGAGCUACUGGUGCAAAGGUUUCCGAAAAGUCAACACCAAACAUUUGUGCAUACCCUUUGACAACCAGCCUUGCUUUAUGUUUGUUUAUAGAACCAUCAGAGUUGAGUUUGGUUCUGUAAACCCACUUAACCCCAAUAGGUUUUUUGUGUGAAGGUCUAUCUACUAGCUCCCAAGUGUUGUUCUUGUCAAUCAUAUCUAGCUCCUCCUGCAUUGCAACCCUCCAUCUUUUAUUUUCAGCAGCUUCAACAAACCCUGCAAGUUCAAGAACAGCUAUAUUACACCUUUGAUAAAUAUCAAAAAGUGUCAUGAAACCUCUAACUGGAAGUUCAUCAACAUCUUCAUCAAUAUAUUGCUGAUUCUGCUCAUCCCAACUCCAUUUCUCCGUUUCCAAAAACUUAACAUCUCUACUUACCACAAUUUUACUAUUUUGUGGCAAGUAGAUUCUGUAAGCUUUUGAGGUGCUGUUGUAUCCAAUGAAAAUUCCUGGUUCUGACUUUUUAUCUAGCUUGUCUCUUUUCACCUGAGGAACAUAAGAGAAACACAAGCAACCAAAGGUCUUUAAAUUCAUUAGCAUAGGCUUAUAAGCAAACCAGGCCUCAAAAGGUGUCUGUUUCUGCAAUGCUUUUGUUGGUAGUCUAUUUAGCAAAAAUACUACUGUAUUUGCAGCUUCAACCCAAAAACUUUUUGGCAGCUCUUUCUCAUGCAAAAGACAUCUUGUCAUUGAUUACUACUCAAAAAGUGCUAUUUGAUAGCCUUUAAUUAAUCCUUUUUAACACUUUUGAGUAGUAGUUUAGGCCUUUUAACUCAAUUGGCAUGUUAAGGAUCCUUUAAAGCAAUUUUGAUCACUUUGUGCAAGUUUUGGUGUUUUUGUUAGUAUUUCGAUCACCAAAGCAAGUCAAGAAUGAGGAGAGCUAUGAGGAAUCUUGGGCAAAGCUUAGAAUUCAAUUGCCAAGAGUGAAUCCGGAUUGCAAGGAGAAAAAGCAAAGAGGAUCAGUCAUGGAGCAUAUUCUUGAUGACAGUCGUAGCAGCCACUUUUGGAUCACUUUCUGAAGUCCAAAUGAUGCAAGCUAUAUACCAUUUCAAAGCUCAGGAAGUCAACAAUCCAAUGCUUCAAACGGUGUGCGAUUCGGAAUUGAAACGAAGAAGUUGCAGCCAUUACAAGCCAGACACUCUAAAGUGUUGCGGAAUCAGCCAUGUGUUGCGAGAAUUUCGCAGCACUUUUGUACAGUAAGGUGUUUCUCCUUCUAACGAUGCACGAACCAUGCCGCGAGAAGGGAGCUGGAAACUUCAAGAUGGAAGCCAACUUUGCAGCCUAGUGAAGAUAGCUCGGUCUUGCAAGAUAAUUUCGCAGCCCUCUUGGGUGUCUGCGAAAUUUCGCAGGCCUCAUUUUUCACCUGCGAAAUGGCUCUUGAAGCCUCCCGAAGCUUGCUACCGACAUUGGGAGAUAUUUUCCAUUAGAUUUUUGUUGUCUAAAUCCCAAAAUACUCCUUGUAAACCACCAAUUACAUGAUUCCUUAGUUUUUAAGUUAGUAAAAAGACCAAAUAUCUUUGUAACAAUUAGUUUUAUAUUUUGUUGUUAUAAAUACCUCUCGGGAGCCUGUUCUCAGGGAGGAGUUCCUUCUGUAAACGUUUGGUAAGCAAGUAAAGUCUAUUUUCUUUCUACUGCCUUACCUUCUCACUUUGUAUUUUCAUUUUAUUUCUAAGUUAUGAAUUCUCUGAGGAGUUUUCCCCAAAGAAUGAGUAACUAAACCUCCAAUUCCUUGGAGCUAAGGUUGCCGGGGAAGGUUCCAAGUGCAAGAAUGCAAAGCUCUGUGGUUUUAGCUAGUAAUGAAGAGGAAGUGAAAUCCUUUAGUGAUUUCAAUGUUUUUAGUUAACUUAAAACACUUUGGAGUCACCUGGGCCAACACUUGGUAAGGCAAGUGAUUUCCAACCAUGGAAAUGCACUAGUUUACCCCUUGCGAGCCUCUGGUAGGUGACUUCAAGGUAGGAUUUUCUGGAAUUACCAACACUUGGUAAGCUUUUGGACUCCUAGGAGACAUCCAUUAGUUAUCUCUUGCGAGUUUGUGAAGGGAAUCCAAGGUUAAAGAUCACCUUGAAUGGUAAGUGCUCGUGAGAGGCAUGAACCAUUGCAAGUUGUAUCAGUGAGAGAAUUAAAGUGAAAUCUAAUUGAAGGAGUCUUUGUACAUCACCGGUUAGAGAAUUGACUAUAAGUUGAAUCUCUAAUGCGAGGAAAUGAACCAACUGACCAGAGCCGUGUCUUUUGCAUGAGGAACCACCCCAGUGAACCUAAAUCUCCAAGGAAUGUUUUUUUCUUCCUAAAUUAUUCCAAACUUCUGUUAAGUUAGUUAGUUUAAAUCUCAACCUUUACAAAUCAAAGUUUGUGUUUUAUUCCUUAAGCUAACCGUGAAAUGAAACAAGACCAAUUCACUUGGAAUUGGUAUCAUUGAUUGCCUGCAAAUCAUUCCCAGUGAACGAUCCUAGAGCCACUAUACUAUAGUAGCUUUGUAUUUGCUACCCUAGUGUAUGGUGUUAUAGGUAUAAAUUUUGUUGAUCACUUCCUCAAUCAAGGAGCACCAGCUGAACACAAAUCAGCUGAGACACCAAUUAGGCAUGAGUCAAAUGGCGCCGUUGCCGGGGAAUGAAUGUCAAGUUCAUUGUGAUACCAUUGUUGAGCACUUGUGAUUUUCAUCACAAGUUGGUAAAGUUUCUUUCACUUUACUAAUUUUCAUUCUUUCUUUGUUUAUUUACAAUCUAAGUUUAUCUUUUUAAAUUUUAGUCUAGUUUAAUUUUGUUGUUGUAGCCCUGUUUUUCUUGUUGUCCUCUGUUUUCAUUUUUUUUUUCAGGUAGAUACUAGUUGUGUAUGCCCAAGUGGAUACGAGACAUAGGAGGUAGGCUUGUUAAGUGUGAUACACCUCAGAAAGGAGAAUUUGAAGUAAUCUUGAAUAUCAUGGAGGCUGCACCUGAAGAUCAGCAUAGUCACCAAGGUCGUCAAGACAAUCUCAAUGAAUUCAGAUCAAUGAGGGACCGUAUGCAUCCACCUCGUAUGAGUACACCAUCAUGUAUAGUGCCCCCUACAGAGCAGCUAGUGAUCAGACCAUAUCUUGUUCCACUUCUACCAACUUUCCAUGGGAUGGAAAGUGAGAAUCCGUAUGCACACAUCAAGGAAUUUGAAGAUGUUUGUAAUACAUUCCAAGAAGGAGGAGCUUCAAUUGACUUGAUGAGGCUUAAGUUAUUUCCUUUUACUUUAAAGGAUAAGGCCAAAAUUUGGCUUAAUUCUUUAAGGCCAAGGAGUAUCCGCUCUUGGACUGAUUUACAAGCUGAGUUCCUUAAGAAAUUUUUUCCUACUCAUAGAACAAAUGGCUUGAAAAGGCAAAUUUCAAACUUCUCAGCUAAAGAGAAUGAGAAAUUCUAUGAGUGUUGGGAAAGAUACAUGGAAGCUAUAAAUGCUUGUCCUCACCAUGGCUUUGAUACUUGGCUAUUGGUGAGCUAUUUUUAUGAUGGUAUGUCCUCCUCAAUGAAGCAACUCCUCGAGACAAUGUGUGGAGGAGAUUUCAUGAGCAAAAAUCCAGAGGAAGCUAUGGAUUUCUUGAGCUAUGUAGCUGAUGUUUCAAGGGGAUGGGAUGAACCAACUAAAGGAGAAGUGGGAAAGAUGAAGUCUCAGUUGAAUGCUUACAAUGCAAAGGCUGGGAUGUAUAAUUUGAAAGAAGAUGAUGACAUGAAAGCAAAGUUGGCAGCUAUGACAAGAAGAUUGGAGGAGCUGGAGCUGAAAAGAAUGCAUGAAGUGCAAGCUGUUGCUGAAGCACCAGUGCAAGUGAAGCUGUGUCCCAAUUGUCAAUCAUUUGAACAUUUGGUGGAGGAGUGCCCUGCAAUUUCAGUUGAAAGGGAAAUGUAUAGAGAUCAAGCAAAUGUUGUUGGACAAUUUAGGCCCAAUAACAAUGCUCCUUAUGGAAAUACCUACAAUUCAAGUUGGAGGAAUCAUCCAAAUUUCUCAUAGAAGGCCAGAGCAACUCAAUACCAACAGCCGGAUCCACCAUCUCAGCAAUCUUCAAGUAUUGAACAAAUAAUAGCCAAUCUCAGCAAGGUAGUGGGAGAUUUUGUGGGAAAGCAAGAAGCCACCAAUGCUCGAGUUGAUCAAAGAAUGGAUAGAAUGGAGAGUGUGUUGAACAAAAGAAUGGAUGGAAUGCAAAAUGAUAUGAACCAAAAGUUUGAUAACAUCCAAUAUUCAAUUUCAAGGCUUACAAAUUUGAAUACACUGCAAGAAAAAGGAAGAUUUCCUUCUCAACCUAACCAAAAUCCCAAAGGUGUCCAUGAAGUGGAAAGCCAUGAGGGAGAAUCAUCACAGGUGAAAGAUGUGAAAGCUUUGAUCACUCUAAGGAGUGGUAAGAAAAUUGAGCAGCCAACACCCAUGCCACAUGUUGAGAAAGAAGAAGGGAUAAAGAAAGGAAAGGAAAUAGAAGAUAAAGACAGUGAGAUCAGUGAAGAAAAGAAGGACUCUGAUUCAACAAUCAAAGCAAUUCCAGAGAAAGAGCUUCUGAAGGAAGAAAUGCUGAAGAAAUCAACUUUUCCACCUUUUCCUCAAGCAUUACAGGGGAAAAAGGGGGUUAGAAAUGCAGCUGAAAUCCUUGAAGUCUUAAGACAAGUAAAAGUUAAUAUUCCACUGCUGGAUAUGAUCAAACAAGUUCCAACGUAUGCAAAAUUCCUAAAGGACUUGUGUACUAUCAAAAGAGGGGUUGACUGUAAACAAGAAAGCCUUCUUGACUGAGCAAGUAAGUGCAAUCUUACAAUGCAAGUCUCCUUUGAAGUACAAAGACCCUGGAAGUCCUACCAUUUCAGUCAUGAUUGGAGGAAAGGUAGUGGAGAAAGCCUUGCUAGACUUGGGAGCAAGUGUGAAUUUGCUUCCAUACUCUGUCUACAAGCAACUGGGACUUGGAGAGUUGAAGCCAACAGCAAUCACUUUAUCUUUGGCAGAUAGAUCAGUGAAAAUUCCAAGAGGAGUAAUUGAGGAUGUAUUGGUUCAAGUGGAUAAUUUCUACUAUCCAGUAGAUUUUGUUGUUCUUGAUACUGAUCCAACUGUAAAGGAAGCUAAUUUAGUUCCUAUCAUCCUUGGAAGGCCAUUUCUUGCAACUUCAAAUGCAAUCAUCAACUGUAGAAAUGGGCUUAUGCAACUCACUUUUGGUAACAUGACACUGGAUCUCAAUAUUUUCUAUAUGUCUAAAAAGCAAAUCACUCCUGAGGAAGAAGAAGGUCCAGAAGAGCUAUGUAUUAUUGAUACUUUGGUGGAGGAGCACUGCAAUCAGCAUAUGCAAGAUAAGUUGAAUGAAAGUCUUGUGGAUAUUGAGGAAGGUUUUUCUGAAUCUCCUAUUGGGCUUGCUACUCUACAAAGUUGGAGAAAGAUAGAAGGAAUUCUACCUUUGUUCAAUGAAAAAGAGGAGGCAACUGUUGAAGAAGAAAUUCCAAAACUCAAUUUGAAGCCUUUACCUGUGGAGCUGAAAUAUACAUAUCUUGAAGCAAAUAAUCAAUGUCCUGUUGUGAUAUCCUCAUCUCUGACCAGUCAUCAAGAGAAUUGUUUAAUGGAAGUUCUCAUGAGGUGUAAGAAGGCAAUAGGAUGGCAAAUAUCUGACUUGAAAGGCAUUAGUCCUUUAGUUUGUACUCAUCAUAUAUAUAUGGAGGAGGAAGCAAAGCCAAUUCGUCAAUUUCAAAGAAGGUUGAAUCCUCAUCUACAAGAGGUGGUGCGAGCUGAGGUGCUGAAGCUACUUCAAGCAGGAAUCAUUUACCCUAUUUCUGAUAGCCCUUGGGUGAGUCCUACUCAAGUGGUACCAAAGAAGUCAGGGAUCACAGUGAUUCAAAAUGAAAAAGGGGAAGAAAUUACUACACGCCUCACUUCAGGUUGGAGGGUGUGUAUUGAUUAUAGAAAGCUGAAUGCUGUCACCAGGAAGGAUCAUUUUCCAUUGCCAUUUAUUGAUCAAGUGCUGGAGAGAGUCUCUGGACAUCCAUUUUAUUGUUUCUUGGAUGGGUAUUCAGGCUAUUUUCAAAUUGAAAUUGAUUUGGCAGAUCAGGAAAAGACCACUUUUACAUGUCCAUUUGGAACAUUUGCUUAUAGAAGAAUGCCUUUUGGUUUAUGCAAUGCACCUGCUACAUUUCAAAGAUGUAUGUUGAGUAUUUUCAGUGAUAUGGUGGAGAGAAUUAUGGAGGUUUUCAUGGAUGACAUCACCGUAUAUGGAGGUACAUUUGAGGAGUGCUUGGUUAAUUUGGAAGCAGUUCUUCAUAGAUGCAUUGAAAAAGAUUUGGUGCUGAACUGGGAGAAAUGCCAUUUUAUGGUACGUCAAGGAAUUGUCCUUGGCCAUAUCAUCUCUGAAAGAGGCAUUGAAGUUGAUAAAGCAAAGGUGGAGCUUAUUGCCAAAUUACCAUCUCCAACAACUGUGAAAGGAGUAAGACAGUUCCUUGGCCAUGCAGGGUUCUAUAGGAGGUUUAUAAAAGGUUUUUCAAGUCUUUCAAAACCUCUUUGUGAGCUGUUAGCUAAGGAUGCUAAGUUUAUAUGGGAUGAAAGGUGUCAGCAUAGCUUUGAUCAACUGAAGAAGUUUUUAACAACAACUCCAAUAGUGAGAGCCCCUAACUGGCAAUUACCUUUUGAACUGAUGUGUGAUGCCAGUGACUUUGCUAUAGGAGCUGUGCUUGGCCAAAGAGAAGAUGGGAAGCCCUAUGUGAUUUACUAUGCAAGUAAAACACUAAAUGAAGCUCAGAGGAACUACACAACUACAGAGAAAGAAUUGUUAGCUGUGGUAUUUGCUUUGGACAAAUUUCGAGCUUAUUUAGUGGGGUCUUUCAUCAUUGUCUUCACUGACCAUUCAGCCUUGAAGUAUUUAUUGACAAAGCAAGAUGCAAAAGCAAGGUUGAUUAGAUGGAUUCUAUUGUUACAAGAGUUCGAUCUUCAAAUCAAAGAUAAGAAAGGAGUGGAGAAUGUAGUAGCUGACCACUUGUCAAGGUUAGUUAUAGCACAUAAUUCCCAUCCCUUGCCUAUCAAUGAUGAUUUUCCUGAAGAAUCACUCAUGUUCCUAGUGAAAACUCCUUGGUAUGCUCAUAUUGCUAAUUAUUUAGUAACUGGGGAAAUUCCAAGUGAGUGGAAUGCACAGGACAGGAAGCACUUCUUUGCCAAAAUUCAUGCUUAUUAUUGGGAAGAGCCCUUUCUCUUUAAGUAUUGUGCAGAUCAGAUUAUUAGGAAGUGUGUCCCUGAAGAUGAGCAGCAAGGGAUUCUAUCUCAGUGUCAUGAGAAUGCAUGUGGAGGCCACUUUGCCUCUCAGAAAACAGCCAUGAAGGUAUUACAAUCAGGGUUUACUUGGCCAUCUCUUUUCAAAGAUGCCCACAUCAUGUGUAGAAAUUGUGAUAGAUGCCAAAGGCUUGGAAAGCUAACAAAAAGAAAUCAAAUGCCUAUGAACCCCAUUCUGAUAGUUGAGAUAUUUGAUGUUUAGGGCAUUGACUUCAUGGGACCUUUCCCAAUGUCUUUUGGUAAUUCUUACAUUUUGGUGGGGGUAAAUUAUGUUUCUAAAUGGGUUGAGGCAAUCCCCUGUAAGCAAAAUGAUCACAGGGUGGUUCUCAAGUUUCUUAAAGAGAACAUUUUCUCAAGAUUUGGGGUGCCCAAGGCCAUAAUCAGUGAUGGAGGAGCUCAUUUUUGCAACAAACCUUUUGAAGCUCUGUUAUCCAAGUAUGGAGUGAAGCAUAAGGUAGCCACACCUUAUCAUCCUCAGACAUCCGGGCAAGUUGAGCUAGCUAACAGGGAAAUAAAGAACAUUUUGAUGAAAGUGGUGAAUUCCAACAGAAAAGAUUGGUCUAUUAGGCUUCAUGAUUCAUUGUGGGCAUAUAGAACAGCUUAUAAAACUAUUCUUGGGAUGUCUCCCUAUCGUCUUGUCUAUGGCAAAGCAUGCCAUCUCCCUGUGGAAGUUGAAUACAAAGCUUGGUGGGCAAUAAAGAAGCUGAAUAUGGACUUGAUCAAGGCCGGAGAAAAGAGAUUUCUAGACCUUAAUGAGAUGGAGGAAUUAAGAAAUAAUGCUUAUAUCAAUUCCAAAGUUGCAAAACAGAGGAUGAAGAAGUGGCAUGAUCAACUCAUCUCCAACAAGGAAUUUCAGGAAGGGCAAAAAGUUUUGAUGUAUGACACAAGACUCCAUAUCUUUCCUGGGAAGCUCAAAUCAAGGUGGAUUGGUCCAUUUGUUAUUCACCGAGUAUAUUCCAAUGGAGUGGUGGACUUAUUGAAUUCCAAUGGCAAGGAUAGCUUUAAAGUCAAUGGAUAUCGUCUCAAGCCGUUCAUGGAGUCAUUCAAAUCAGAAAAGGAGGCAAUCAACCUCCUUGAACCUCAAAAAGCCUAAGUGAAAAGGGUUUGCUGGACGUGGCUUUACCACAGUCCAAAAUUUUUGUAAAUUUUGUAAAUUUUCAAGUUGUUUCUAUACUUUUGAUUUUAGUUUUUGAUCUUAAAUCAUGUUUUUAGGUGUGUUUUAAUCGUUUUAAAUGAUCCCAGGUGGAAGAAAUUUCAAGGGGAUUGAAAGAAAAAAAAUCGGGUCGAAAUUGGAGCCGAAACAGAGCAAAAACAGGGGAAAAACAGAGCUCUGCGAAAUUUCGCAGGGUGAAGGAAACCUCUGCGAAAUGAGCAUUUUGUUGCGAAACCAUUCCGCAGCACUGUAGAAGCCUCUGCGAGUGUAUUUCGCAGCUGCGAAAGUGAAUUUGGCACACGAGUGCCACUUCGCAGUACAGUAGCAUCCAUUUGGCAGCUGCGAAACUCAUUGCGAAAUGGAAAAGCGUGAUUUCGCACCAAAAGUCCCAUUCCGCAGGGUAUUUCGCAAUUGCGAAAGUGGUUUUGGCACACGAGUGCCACUCCGCAGCACAGUAACAUCAAUUUCGCAGCUGCGAAACUCACUGCGAAGUUGCUGCGAAAAUGGCAAGUUGCUGCGAAAUUGGCGUUUAGUUGCGAAACUUAAACUGACCCCUGAGCUUCCGUUUUUCCUAUUUAUACCGGUCAAAAGUGCUGCGAAAAGGGUUUCAAAAAUCAGAGCACCAUUCUCGCAGCCCCUUCAUCUUCUUCGCCAAGCCACGCCGUCCGAACCUCCGGUCGUCUUCUCCGUUUAGCAGCGCCGGCCAAAGAUCGAUAUUCCAAAAUGGCACGAACGCGAGGGGCAAAAUCUUCAUCCCCUUCGAAUCGCAAAAGGAGUCUGCGAAAGGAGCCAAGUCCAGGUUCUGCUCCAGAACCUGCUCCAAAGCCUUCGCCGUCGAGACCACAACCUUCUCCAGUGAAGCCGGCGCCACUAAAGCCGCCGGCAAGACGAUAUUUGACAAGGUCAGGCGGUUGGCCAUUGAAGAAGAAGCCCAGGGUUGAGAGCUCUGAACCAAUUGAUUUGACUGAGCAAUCCCCUGAGCAGUCCCCAAAUCCUUCACCAGUUCAAACUCCAGUGCCGUCACCGGUUCCCUCGCCAAUUCCCUCACCUGAAGCAACUCCAAUUCCAUCGUCGGUACCAUCUCCGGCACCCCAAGAAAAAGCUCAGGAGCCUCAAGCGCCAAUUCCAGAGCCCCAAAUUGCAGCUGAAGCACCUCUGGAAGAAGUGAUCCGAAGGCCAAUGCUGCCCCAGCCCCCAAUCGAAGGAAACUUGGAUUGUCGAACACGGGCAUUCCAUUCUGAGCUUUGCUUCGAUUUAACAGCAUUCAGAGUGAGGCCAGAGCUUGCCCAAUCCUUCCAGCUGCUGAGGAGAUAUCAUAUGGAGCAUCUGCUAGCUCCAAGGGAUUUUUUCUAUCCCCGGGUAGUCACGGACUUCUACCAGACCAUGACAACCAAAGAAGUAAGAAAUCCAACUCUGAUCCAUUUCAUAAUUGAUGGAAGGCAUGGUAUUUUGGGAGCAAGACACAUUGCUGAAGCUCUGCAAAUUCCUUUUGAGCCAACCCAAUUCGACAAUUUUAAAGCUUGGGUAAAUCCUACUGAGUUAGAGAUGGUUCGCACACUAACCAGAGGAGCUGCAAAUCGAUCACACCUGUUGAGGGGGGAGCUACCUCCAGUGAUGUUUUUGAUUGAUGCCUUUUUGAGGCAUAAUAUCUAUCCCCUGCAGCAUUGGACCCAAAGAAGGGGAAUUCUCCUGGAAGCUUUGUACAAGAUGUCAGAAGGAUUCUUCUUUGGGCCCCAUCAUCUUAUCAUGGCAGCCCUUCUAUACUUUGAGGAAAAGGUUCACAAGAAGAAACUUCAAAGAGCAGAUUGCAUUCCACUCCUCUUCCCAAGGCUGCUAUGCCAAGUUUUGGAGCAUCUCGGAUACCCCUCUGAGCCUCAGCAGGAAAGAAAGAGAAUAUGCCGUGAGCCAUUUACUCUUGAUAAAUGGAAUAAUAUGACGGCCUACAAAAUUGAUCAGCCUGGGCAGCCUCAGCCAGCAGCAAGGAGAGCCUCCCCAAGACAUGCACCUGAAGGUAUAACACUUGCUACUCCUGCCAUCCCUCGAGCUUCACCAGCUGCACCUGCUGCAUCACAGCCAUCCACAUCAGCUGAGCCGAGGAUGGCCAUCCCUAUAUCCGAAUAUCGAGAGCUGUGCCGAGCAUUGGAGACUCUUACAGCUUCCCAGAGCAAUCUUGCUCAAGAGUUGGCAGCCAUCAAAGCAUGCCAGGAGCAGAUGUUAGCCUCUCAGGCUCAACAAGCUGCCAUCCUAAGGCAGCUUCAAGUCCAUUUCGAUCUGCCACAAGCUGUAGAGCCCUCCACUGAGACUCCACCAGAGCCACACUCUCAGCCUUCAGAGUCUCUUCCUCCAGAGCCAGAAGCCCCAACUGAUCCACCUACAGAGGAGGCGGAUCCUUCUGCUUAGCACCAUCACCCCACUCAUCAGACAUUAUAUAUAUUUGCUGUUUAUGUUUUUAUGCAUGUUUGUUUUGUUUUAGUUGAAAUGAAAUCCCAGUAUUUUGGUACUAUAUAUGGGAUUCCUUGUGAUUACUUGUCCUUAGCAUUGUACUCGAAUGAAUUGAAAGUAAUACAAGUUGAAUUUUUCUUGUUAAAAGUUAGCAUUAAAAUUCUCCUUAUUUCCUUUUCUCACAUAUUCUAUUCUUUUUGAAACAUGUGGUUUUCCCCAAUCAAUAUUCGAAUUUGAUAUCAGCAUGGAGGUACCACUUCCUCCCUUUUAUUACAGUCACUCAAAUCACAUUGAGGACAAUGCUCAGUUCGGUUGGGGGGUAUGAGGAAGGAAGUAUUCUAAAUCUUUUUGGUAUUGCAAUUAUAUUGGUUAAUUAGUUGUAGAUUUUACGUUUUACUCUUGUUACUCUAUUCUCCAUGAAUUUUGAGGAAAAAUUUUCAAAUUAAACCAAGAGAAAUUGAACUGUUGUUUUUCACUUGACUUAGAGUAUGGAUUAUGCUUACUAAAGUGGUUCAAUUGUUGAAACUUCUACUGAAAUUGAAUUGAGUUCUUCCAUUUUAAGCUAUCCACACACUGUGCACAUUAGUUUCUGAUUAUAAGAUGAAAAGCUAUUUCCCUCUUGACUUAGGAUAAUUUUGGGACUUGGUAUAUUUGACCUCAUUUGAUAAAAAUUGAAACACCCUGCAAAAGGCCAAUGAGCCUUUGAAAUAAAGAAAGAUGUUUGCUUGCCUUGAAACCCGAGCAAGGUCUGAGGGGCAUAUGGUGAAAGCCUUUAAAGCCUGGUGCCCUAAGCCUUAAUUGGUUGGGAGUCACCGACCUCAAUGCUCGUUACAAGGGUGAAUAGGUAGAGCUAGCAUAUGGUAGAUGCUUGGGUAUUAGAAAUUCAUUCUUAAAAGUCCAGGGAAAAAUCCGAGGAGUUAGUGGUUGAAAGAUCCUUAAAACUUGGUGCCCUAAACCUUAAUUGGUUGGGAGUCAUCGAUGGACCCCCAUUACAUGGACAAGUCAGAAAGAGUACCCCAUAAAGCUACUUUAAAAAAAAAAAAAAAAAAAAAAAAAAGAUGAUGAAAGUGUGUUCUUUUCUUAUUGAUUUUGGUCAGAUUGCUAAAGUGUUGAAAAGAGAUAGGUUGGGGGGGGAGACUAGUUUAGCAUAUUAUUCUCGGAAUCUAAGGAACCAAUACACAUAGAUUUUUGUGGAAGAUUGAAGUUUAGUUCUUAGAAAGUGAAAUGAUUUUAAAACUUCAGUUUGCAUAAUGCACUCCCUUGAUUGACAGUGUUUAGCAUAGGUGUUAUGACUCUUGUUGAGAUUUGGGUUUGUAUUUCUUUAAUGAUUCAUGUGAGAAGUAAAUCAUCAUGCCACUUAAGAAUUAUUUUCCUUUCAGCAUGAUGUUGUAAAUUUUAGAUUAGUUUGCUAUUUAUUUUUAUUUUUCUCUCCUUUAUUGCUAAGGGACUAGCAAUAUGUCGGUUGGGGGGAGUGAUUACUACUCAAAAAGUGCUAUUUGAUAGCCUUUAAUUAAUCCUUUUUAACACUUUUGAGUAGUAGUUUAGGCCUUUUAACUCAAUUGGCAUGUUAAGGAUCCUUUAAAGCAAUUUUGAUCACUUUGUGCAAGUUUUGGUGUUUUUGUUAGUAUUUCGAUCACCAAAGCAAGUCAAGAAUGAGGAGAGCUAUGAGGAAUCUUGGGCAAAGCUUAGAAUUCAAUUGCCAAGAGUGAAUCCGGAUUGCAAGGAGAAAAAGCAAAGAGGAUCAGUCAUGGAGCAUAUUCUUGAUGACAGUCGUAGCAGCCACUUUUGGAGCACUUUCUGAAGUCCAAAUGAUGCAAGCUAUAUACCAUUUCAAAGCUCAGGAAGUCAACAAUCCAAUGCUUCAAACGGUGUGCGAUUCGGAAUUGAAACGAAGAAGUUGCAGCCAUUACAAGCCAGACACUCUAAAGUGUUGCGGAAUCAGCCAUGUGUUGCGAGAAUUUCGCAGCACUUUUGUACAGUAAGGUGUUUCUCCUUCUAACGAUGCACGAACCAUGCCGCGAGAAGGGAGCUGGAAACUUCAAGAUGGAAGCCAACUUGGCAGCCUAGUGAAGAUAGCUCGGUCUUGCAAGAUAAUUUCGCAGCCCUCUUGGGUGUCUGCGAAAUUUCGCAGGCCUCAUUUUUCACCUGCGAAAUGGCUCCUGAAGCCUCCCGAAGCUUGCUACCGACAUUGGGAGAUAUUUUCCAUUAGAUUUUUGUUGUCUAAAUCCCAAAAUACUCCUUGUAAACCACCAAUUACAUGAUUCCUUAGUUUUUAAGUUAGUAAAAAGACCAAAUAUCUUUGUAACAAUUAGUUUUAUAUUUUGUUGUUAUAAAUACCUCUCGGGAGCCUGUUCUCAGGGAGGAGUUCCUUCUGUAAACGUUUGGUAAGCAAGUAAAGUCUAUUUUCUUUCUACUGCCUUACCUUCUCACUUUGUAUUUUCAUUUUAUUUCUAAGUUAUGAAUUCUCUGAGGAGUUUUCCCCAAAGAAUGAGUAACUAAACCUCCAAUUCCUUGGAGCUAAGGUUGCCGGGGAAGGUUCCAAGUGCAAGAAUGCAAAGCUCUGUGGUUUUAGCUAGUAAUGAAGAGGAAGUGAAAUCCUUUAGUGAUUUCAAUGUUUUUAGUUAACUUAAAACACUUUGGAGUCACCUGGGCCAACACUUGGUAAGGCAAGUGAUUUCCAACCAUGGAAAUGCACUAGUUUACCCCUUGCGAGCCUCUGGUAGGUGACUUCAAGGUAGGAUUUUCUGGAAUUACCAACACUUGGUAAGCUUUUGGACUCCUAGGAGACAUCCAUUAGUUAUCUCUUGCGAGUUUGUGAAGGGAAUCCAAGGUUAAAGAUCACCUUGAAUGGUAAGUGCUCGUGAGAGGCAUGAACCAUUGCAAGUUGUAUCAGUGAGAGAAUUAAAGUGAAAUCUAAUUGAAGGAGUCUUUGUACAUCACCGGUUAGAGAAUUGACUAUAAGUUGAAUCUCUAAUGCGAGGAAAUGAACCAACUGACCAGAGCCGUGUCUUUUGCAUGAGGAACCACCCCAGUGAACCUAAAUCUCCAAGGAAUGUUUUUUUCUUCCUAAAUUAUUCCAAACUUCUGUUAAGUUAGUUAGUUUAAAUCUCAACCUUUACAAAUCAAAGUUUGUGUUUUAUUCCUUAAGCUAACCGUGAAAUGAAACAAGACCAAUUCACUUGGAAUUGGUAUCAUUGAUUGCCUGCAAAUCAUUCCCAAUGAACGAUCCUAGAGCCACUAUACUAUAGUAGCUUUGUAUUUACUACCCUAGUGUAUGGUGUUAUAGGUAUAAAUUUUGUUGAUCACUUCCUCAAUCAAGGAGCACCAGCUGAACACAAAUCAGCUGAGACACCAAUUAGGCAUGAGUCAGUCAUCUCCAUUAUUGUUUUAUUUUUUCUUUCCACCACCCCAUUUUGUUGUGGGGUGUAUGGUGCAAUGAGCUGGUGAUCUAUGCCUGCAUCUUCACAAAAUUUGUUGAAUUUUUCUGAAGUAUAUUCUGUACCAUUAUUCGACCUUAUAACCUUGAUUCUGUAUUCACUUUGAUUUUCAACCAUGGCCUUAUAUCUCAAAAACACAUCAGCAACCUCAGCUUUGUAAGUGAGAAAAUAAAUCCAACAAAAUCUUGUGAAGUCAUCAAUAAAUGCAAUAUAGUACUUACUCCCUUUCAAAGAUGGUGUCUUUUGAGGUCCACUCACAUCUGUGUGAACCAAUUGUAGUUUCUGUGUUGAUUUCCAUGCUGCUUUUUGAGGAAAAGGAAGUCUUGUUUGCUUCCCAUAUUGAUAGGCUGCACAUAUAGGAAGUUCUUCUUCCAAAUCAGGGAGUCCUUCUACAAUCUAAUUCUUCUUCAUGUAGAGCACGGUAUUGUGGUGGAAAUGCCCUAAUCUUUUAUGCCAAAGCAUUGUAUUGUUCUCGUGUUGUGCAGCAGUAAUUUGCUCAUCUUCUAACAUAUUUAAGGCAAAACUUUUGCCUUUCAUUUUUAUGUUGAACACCUCUUUGCCUUCAGCAUCCUUGAUUAUGCAAUUUUUGUCUUCAAAACAAACUUUAAACCCUUUCUCAACAAGCUGUCCAACACUUAGCAAAUUUUGGUCAAUGUCAGGCACAAACAAAACAUCAGAAAUGAGCUUUAAACCUGUUAGGCUUUCAAUAGCUAAUGUUCUUUUACCUUUUACUGGAAUAUACUCACCAUUUCCUAUUCUAACUUUGGAAAUAGUUGUCCUAUCAAUCUCCCUAAAGCGAUCUUGAUCAUGUCAUGUGGUUUGUGCAACCACUGUCCACGAGCCAGCUUUCAGAGGUGCUACCGUUUGCAAAACAUGUUGCUGAAAAUAGUUGUUCCUCCUGGUAUUGUUCAGCUGCUACAUUGGUUUCUCCCUGCUGCUGCUGAGUUCUACAGAUCCUUUCUAUGUGUCCAUGUCUACCACAUUUGUUGCAUUUCACAUCUGGUCUCCACCAACAUUUUUGUUGAGGAUGAUUUGUUUUCUUGCAAUGAGGACAGGGUGGAUAGGUUCCAGUUUUUUUAUUGUUGUUGUUGCUUGGCUUAUUGUUGUUCUUUUUGUUCUUCCUCCUUCUUGUGUUACCUUCAUUGGUCUGUGUCUUUGCUUGAAAAGCUCCUUCUACAGAACUUCCUUGCCUCAUGAGUCUUCUUUGUUCCAAAGCUUGUAAAGCAUUUAGUAGUUCUGCCAAGGUGAUACUUGACAAAUCUUUUGUGUUUUCCAAAGAAGAAAUUGUAGCUUCAUAUUUUUCAGGAAUUGUGACAAAAUUGUUUUGAACAACUCUUUCAUCAGAAAACUCUUUACCUAGCAACCUCACCUUGUUUGCUAUGGUAAGAAGUUGUUCUGCAUAAUCUUUUAUGGUUUGAGACUCUUUCAUCCUCACCAUUUCAAAUUCUCGAAUUAGAUUCAUUACCUGCACAUUUCUGACUCUUUCAUUGCCUUGAUAUUCUUCCCGUAGAUGCUUCCAGAUUUCUGCAACAGAUUCAAGUUGCAUGAUUCUGGUGAGAAUUAAUGGUGAGACUACAGAAAAUAAGCAAGCCUUGGCCUUAGCCUUCCUCGUCUUUUUCUCCUUAUGGUUUUUCAUCUGUGACACAGUUGGAUUGGCUCCAAGUGGAGAAAUUUCAUAAUCUUCCUCUAUUGCUUCCCAGACAUCAAGAGCCUGUAGAUGAACAGUCAUCCUGACAGCCUAAGUUUGGUAAUUUUCUCCAUUGAAGACUAGUGGUGCUGCUGUGAAGCUUGCUUCUUCCAUUUCUGCAAGGUUUUCAGAUUCAGGUUUGGUAUACGGUGUUUAGGCUCACACACCUCACUGGUCCCUCAAGACAAAAAUUGCUCUGAUACCAAACUGUUGGAAGCAGGCGAGGUUAACACACCAAGCAACAGAGAACAGAGAUAUGCUGCUACUGAUCUAUAUUUUUUAUUUGAUCAUAAGGCUGAAUUUAUACAGAUUGUGUAACAUAUAUGACCUCAAAAAAAGCAUCAAAUCAAGCUACUUGUUGAACAAAAAACUACCUCCUACAAAAUAGCAUCAGAAUUUAACUUAAAAGCAAAAACAUAAUAAUAGCAACAGCAAAAACAGAAACAUAAAAAUAGCUUCAACAUUCUAGUAAUCUCAUUGACUUCAAUUGCAUGUGGUUGACGAUUUCAGCCUUUUCCUCAGCAGCUACUAAGGCAUAACUCUCAACAGGGCCUCUUAAUUUCCAUUCUGGCAUCUAUAUGACCUGAUAAAUAGAAAGAAAAAAAAACAGAAGAAAAGCGGCACCUGGGUUCAUAGUAAGCAUCAAGACAGGAUGCUGAAAGAAGGGAGAGAGGAGAUUGCAAGUCCAAUCCUGAUAAAAUAUCAACAAAGAGUAUUAAAUGGGGCCAACAUAAAGACCCAUUAAGGUCAGCAGAUGGCAUGGCAUUUUUCUCCUUAAGUUUUCCAUGAUUAGGCUUGAAGUCAAAAUUUCACAUGUAAAUUUGUAUUUCUACAUUUCCCACUGACGACACCCAACUUCAACUUGAGUUAGAAUAACAUUGUGUGAACUUAUCUGGCCCUCAAAAUUUACUGUGAAGUGCUUUCUGCGUGUGAAGAUUCAGAAAAGCACCAAGGGAACAUGUAUGGUCUGCCUUUUUCUGAUGUUAUGUUUGUCUCUAAUUCUGUUCCAUGUCAUGGUAAAUGUUCACAUUGCUUGUAUGGAACACACCAGGAUCACUUUUUCAGGUUUAGGGGGAUACAAAAGGCUUCAUAUUGGGUUCAAUGCUUUUAAUGUGUUCAUUGGACAAAUCUGAAUUAUCAUACGCAUUUAGAUAAGAACAAUAAUGUGAAACCCUAGUUACACCUCCCCUGCAUAACCCCAACCCUGCUUGCUCUAUUUCAGUUUACUCACAAGUUUUACUGGUUCUUAUAAGUCAAGAAAAGGCAACUGAUGUUGGAUCGACUCUCUUCCAUGUAAAAAAUGCAACUUUUAUACAUAUAAAAGAACUUCUUCCCCUCACCAAUGUGGGAUUUCAUAGAUUUAUUCUGGAAACACAUCAAAGGAACAUCUUUUCUCUUGGGUGACCCUAAGUGGUGAGUCAGAUCAUUUGCAUGCCAUUGAGUUGCACAGUUGGAUAAAUGCACCUGCCUCCUGGGCUCCAGAGUUAAAAGGGUGGAUCCCUGGAUUGCAACCCUCUUGGCAUCUUGGUUUCUAUUCCAACAUCCACAUGACUUGACAAAACAAAAAACAGAAUAAAAUCAGCACUAUAUUCAUGCUAAGCACCAAUACAUGAUGGAAAUCAUUGCUUAAAGAUUUGGGGUCGUUUUAGGUUUUGACUGCCUCCUACCACCUCACCUAAUGACAAGUUUUUAUGCUUACAAAUCAAAUAUCGUUCUUCAUUAUAUUAAAAUCAUUUUAAGAUUUCAGAUCCAUCUGCUAAUUAUGAUUAUGAUAACAUUUAUUCACCUGUGCUUCUCAUUUUCGACACACAAGGCAUCUAGGUUUGCAGGAUUUCCUUAUUAGAUGAGAUAAAUGAGUACGUAUGGUUAUGUAUCCAGCAUUCAUUAACCAUGGUAUGUGACAUUUAGAAUUAAGAUAGCAAGCAAACUUUCCCUGCAGCUAGAGUAAAUUGUGAUUUCUUAGCCUCUAUGAGUGGUUCCCAAAUCAAAUUAACAUAGUGAAAUAUACGUAGUCCAGUGAAAGGAAAUGUAAAUUAUAAACUAACAGCACUACACUACUGGUAACAAUCGAUACUCUCUAUAUAAUGCAAUAAACAAUGUCACAAUUGCCUACAAGCAAGGCACAAACACUAGAACAAGUAAAGCACAAACCUUUCCCAACAGUUCCCAGUGACUGAUGCAUAUCAUACCCUCAACUCACAGAAGGGGAUGAUAUCAGUGCACUGCAGCACUUAUUUUACACAUACUACCACUACUACUACUACUACUACUACUCAUUAGCCAAAGUCACUCAGUUGGGAUGAGUGUGAGGUAGAGGUUUGUGGGGUGCUAUGUGGAAAGGAGUUUGGCUUCUUCUCAGGAGAUGGUAGCUUCUUUGCAGGAGUUGAAGGAGGCUUAAUCUUCUGUGGUGGAUUGAUUGUAUGAGUCUUUGGCACUCUCUUCUCUAGUACAGGUGAAUACCCAGGGGUGCAUCCAUAAUGCGGUGGCUUCUAUCCCUUAGGUGGUUUGCCAAAUUCAAAAUCGAAGGAUUUUUUUUUUUUAAGUAUACGUAUCUUUGAAAGCUUUUAUUUUGUAUGGCAAAUGGAAUGAGAGGAGCAGUCAUAUUCUAUUUGGCCAGAGCAACAUAUCACAAAUGAACAAGCUAUUUACUGCCACACUGGGCAAAACAUACAUAAUCCUUGUACUUCAAACAUCCAUGAAUUCUCAUCAUUUUCAGGACACGUUGCAUGGUCUAUCAUUCUAUAUGUCGGCAUAGUAAGUGCAGCUAAUAAGCCUAUUCAGAGCUGAAAUUCAAAAUCUAUUCACAGGAUAAUGACCUUAUUAUUGGAUUUUGCUCACUGUCAUACACACAUAUCAGAUAAAGCCCCACAUGCUCAUAAGCUACAAGCAACCUACAAGCACUAAAAUGAGUGUUAGACGUAUGAAACAUUCCCCAAUACUAGUAGUAUUACCUGUUCCAUAGAACACUAAAUUAGAAGAGAGAAGAUGUGAGACUCCAGCUUUUCUUUCUACAUAUUACUCAUAUCAAGUUGGAAUAGUUAGGCGGUAGAGGCUUGGGGUGGCUUGUGUAGGGGACUAGGCAGCUUCUCUCAGGAGUUGAUUUCGUCUUAUUCUGGAUGUCCAGGUUUCGUCCUUUCGAAUUUCCCAUGCAAAUCAGCAUUCUCCUUGGGAAACUUCACUCCGUUGGGAAACUUGUGUGAAUCUUUGGCAUUCUCUACCAGAGAAGGCCCAGGGCAGUGACCAUAAGGUGGUGGCCUUUUUUCAGGUGGUGGCUCCUCUCCCACUGGAGGCUUGUGGUAAUCAGCAAGAGAGGCAGUGGAGAGAAUCAUCACCCCAAGGAACAGCACUAGCAAGUAUUUGUGAGCCAUAUUUGGGAUCUGAUGAUGAAGACUAGAAGAUAGGAGUUGCCUCAUAUAAUGGGUUGGAGACUAUAUCUCAAGGGGACGUGUAUUUAUGCAUAUGAUCUAUAUAGGACCAUCCUCCUAAUAUUUUCAAAAUAAUGUUAUUGUCUCUCUUGGGUGACAGUUUGAUUUGGUCUAUUUCCAUGCCACUGAGUAGAAAAGUUUGACAAUUGGCUACACCACCUACCUGGAUUACAUGGUUGAAAGUGAAGAUCAGUACAGUGUGAUCACACUUGACCUCUUGUUCCCCAUUCCAGUAUCUAAUUAACCUGACAAAAGUAAAAGGAAAGGAAAAAGGGAAAAAAUAGAAUAAUGUUCAAAUAAAAACGAGAAAAAAUAGCAUAAUGUUGAUGAAUCAUGAUAAGCAUCAAGGCAUGAUAGUGAGAGAGAGGAAAGAAGACAGUGUAAUUUGCAAUCCUGAUAAUCAUUAUAUAGCAGUAACUUUAAUCAUUUUUCUAUCACAGGGAACAUGACACUCAUCUUCCUAUGGAGAUAUUGCAUAAGUUUUUUUCUUUGUAUGUCAACACUAACCAAUGAAGCAUGUUAGCUGGUUUGAAACUGAAACUGUAGCCCUCUGUUUGGUUCUUGAAAAACUUGAGAGAAAAUGGAAGUAAAGUUAAAAGGAAAGAAAAAGUGAAAAAAAAUAAAAAUAGAUUGAAAGUUAACAAAUUAUUUUUACAUGUUCCCUCAAAUUUCUUUCACUUAUUUUUCCUUUUCUAUAUAAAGAUUAAAUGAUUUAAAAAUCAUAAAUUUCUAACUAAUUAUAACUAUAUUUGAUUUUCUUUCAUAUUUUCCAAGAUAAAGUCAGACAUGAGAAAAUCAUUUUCCUUAAAAAAGAAAUUCUUUCCUUUACAGUUUCUUAGAACCAAACCUGGCACAAAAGUCCAAAUUGGGGUUUCUCCAUGUUCCAUUUUUUAUGGCUACCUUUAUGGACCAUAUAAUAUAGAAUGUACUUCUGCAUACCUUCAAGAUCAAGCUGAACUAUAAGAAAAAGACAAGCCAUGGCCCACGGAGCAGGGAUACCAAGCUGCCUUCUCCUAGAUUAAGUUCCAAGAUUUCAGUCUUCAAACCUGCUAAAAGCUAAAGGCAUGUUUCCAGCCUGCGGCAGAUAACAUGCACUGUCCAACAAUAAAUUGCAAACACAUUCGAUGCAGUUUAUUAGUACAAUAAGAUUAAAUCCACCAAAUCUUUUACAGUUCAACCAACACUUGAACUAGUAGCUAGCUUCACUACUGGGUAAUAAUAUAUAAACCAAACUCUUGAUAGGAACCAACCUAUCGCAGAUCGAACUUCUUACAUCCACCAUGAAUUACUGAACCAAAAGAAGAAUCGAAGAGACUGCCAAGGAGGAAAGCCUUCCUAUAACUAGAUAUUUAUAUUCCAAAUUAGGGAGAGCACCCACUGCCCAGGCCUCGCCCAGCAUAAACAGAUAGUAUACAUAUACAUGCAAAAAGCUCCAACCUUCAAGAUUUUAACUAUUAACUUAACACAAUUAAAAAUGUAUCCAAAAAGCAAAUCCCCUUGAACUCCUGAAGCAAUUACUCCAACCAAAUAAAGAUUUUAAGAGUUCCAUGUUCAUAUCCUGCAAGGAAAUCAUUCAAUGUUCAGACCUCUAAUUUCUGUCUUUCUAAAUGCCCAGCCAAAAGGCAUAAAGUAUCAUCCAAAUUGGAUGCACAGCAUAUGUUCUUAAAUCAUGGGAUUUCACCAUAAGUUACUACACUCUAACAGGGCCCAGAAAUUGACCUCCAGAUAUGCCUAUCAAAAAAUUAUCCCCACAUACAUUUUUCUGCUGAAAAGACAAUAUUGUUACAUUUGACAUUCAACCACUACUUGAACUCAACAACCAGGGAAAAGAAUAUAGUAUUUCUACCAAUGAGGAUGAGAGGGGCUGGUGAAUUAACAGGUAAAAGUUUGUUUUGGGUUCAUUGUUUGCAUAAUAAUGUAAAAAUGGAGUAGUAUAUUAUAAAUUAAUGUAAAAAUGGAUUAGCAUAACAUAAAUUGCCAUAAGAGAACCACAAACUACAAAGAAACUUAUUUUCCAAACAAGGAAAAUUAUUCAUAGCCAUUAUUACAUAAGAAAGGAAAUUGAUAAAAUUAUUAUCCAGUUCCCCAUCAGGAAAUAUGAAAGUACUCCUAAAAGCCUCAAUUCUAACCAGAAAACCAUAGAAAUGUAUUAGAAAUAUUGUACAGGGUUCUCUCCAAUAUUAGCUUCAGUUGCUAAGGAGAUCAGAACCUUGAAAGUAAGUCACAAAGGUCGUGUGGGUUUCCCAGAGUCUUCAACAACCAGUAUUCACAUAUGUACACAUUAAAAUUAAAUAAAGCAGGUAUCAAUUCCACAGGCUUUAAGAUUUGAAUUGCUUCUCCCUGGAAUCAUACACCACUCAUAUUGUCACUGACUUUCAAUUACUUCUCCCUGCGAUCAUAUGCCACUCAUAUUGUCACUGCCUUAGGGAACAAAGUGAAAAUCUGCAAUUUCAAUUAAUUCCAACAUAAAAAUAAAAAUCAAUCCUCAAAAAAUGGAUUGCCAGGAGGUAAAUAUAAUAGAAGACGAACAACUCUCACAACCAAGUUAAAGAAACCAGCCGCUAGGUACCUUUGAGUUCUAUACUACCAGGAACAAAUUGGAUGAGAUUAUUUAAAGGCUAUUCCACAGUGGAAAUUCAUUCGUUCAAAAAACAUUUGUCAUGCAUAUAGGCAAUCUAUCCUAUGCAUUCAUACAUCAUGGUCUCAUGCAAUCUUAAUAAAAGUGGUCCUGGAAAAAGAGAGAAAAAAGUAAUUACAAGCCUGUGCGACCAGAUUUCUUUUGUUUUUUUUUUUUUUUUCCUUUGCCAAACAACCAUGUUCAUAGUUUCAGAAGUUCAUUCUGUCUUUAAGAGACCAUGGCAGUGACUUGGCCAUUCAGCUAAGANNNNNNNNNNNNNNNNNNNNNNNNNNNNNNNNNNNNNNNNNNNNNNNNNNNNNNNNNNNNNNNNNNNNNNNNNNNNNNNNNNNNNNNNNNNNNNNNNNNNUCACCAAGGACUCCUCAACCUCAAAAUAAUAGAGAAAGUCUAGGACACCAUGUCACUACUGAGGACAACCCAACACCACAACAUUUCAGUCCGUUCAAAAAGAGUAAUUGGAAUUGUUGCAAAAAAUGUUCAACUAGUCCCAACAGGAGGCAAAUUCCUCCAUUUCUUCAUCGGGUCCGGAUCCUUUGCUCAAAAAGGUAAUUUUCUUACUGCCCUAAAAGAAAAAGGGAAAAUGUGAGUCAUUGGAUUGUUGACUCAGGAGCUUUUGAUCACAUGACUAGAGUGCCACAAUUUUUCAAAAUUAUACACCUUGUUUUGGGGAUGAUACAAUUCGUAUGGCUGAUGGUUCUCUCUCAAAGGUGACUGGUACAAGUUUUAUUGUCAUCUCUAAGGACCUAACUCUUGACUCUAUUCUUUUGGUUCCAAACUUGGAUUGCAAUCUAUUGUCCAUUAGUAAACUCACUUAUGAAAAGAACUAUGUUACUAAAUUUUUCCCAAACCAUUGUGUUUUUUAGAAUUUGAAUUCGGGGAAGACGAUUGGCAAUGUUGAAGUGUGUUUAGGACUCUAUGCCUUCAAAGUGAAUUAUUAUAUUGAAAGACAAUCUUAACCAACAGUUGGUGAAAAAUGGUGUCUUUUUGUCUUUAGUUCUAAUAAAGAUAGUGAUGUUAUGUUAUAGCACUAUUGUCUAGGACAUCCUAGUUUCUUAUAUCUCAAAAAACUCUUUCCAUGGUUUUCAGUGUGAAAUUUGUCAACUAUCCAAGCAUCUUUGCAAGCCCUAUCCAUAGUUUUAAAAGACUUAAGGCACACCAAGACGCAAAGUCCUCUUGGAGCCUUAGGCGCAAGGCACACCUAAGGCGCGAACUUUAGUAAAGUGAGGUGCAUCCUGUUUUACAUAUAUAUUUUUAUAUAAUACAAUCAAGUGCCCGAAAAUUUUCCUCUAAUUUUCCCCUUCUUCUUCAUCCUCUUCUCUUCUUCACAUUGUUCGGGAGGCUAGGACAUUUUUUUUUUUUUACAUGUCUAAAACAAGCAUAUAUUGGGUUUUGGAAGAAGAACAAGCCAAAAUGACAUCGUUUUGGAGCCUAAUCUUUUAAAUAAAUAAAUAAAUAAAUAAAAACCAGCCAAAAAUGACACCGUUUUGGCCCCUGUUCUUUUAAAAGAACAAACCAAACAACGUCAUUUUGAUCUCAGGAAAUUAAAAAAACAAAACCCUCGUCAUUCUCCCUUUGCUACUCUACAACUCAUCGUCAAAGGGUAAAAAGAUGACCAAAAGAAGAAGAAGAAAAAAAAAAAACGACGACAGAGGAUAGAGGUGCACCUGUUGAGGGCGUUGCGCCUAGCCAAGAGGCGAGCGCCUUGCACACUUAAUCAACGCCUCUGUGAAGGGGCGGCUCCUGCAAUCAGGCGAAGCGCUGAAGGGUGAUGUCACAUCGUCUAGAGCCUAGGCGCACCUUUCACAACUAUGACCCUAUCCAACUCAACCAUACAAACCAUCUCAUCUUUUUUCCAUACAUAGUGAUGUUUGGAGGUCAUCUAAAAUAAAGAACAUAACAGGGACUAGAUGGUUGAUGAUCAUACUAGAAUUUCUUAGAUAUUUCUAAUGAAAAAAAAAUCAAAAAUUAGUCAAAUUUUCUAAAAGUGGACCAGAAUUUCUUUAUUGAAUUAAAAAGUUGAAAUUAAUAUUUUGGAAAAGUUAGGGCCGCUCAAGAGGUAGAAAUAGCGCUCGAGUGGUAGAAAUAGCGCUCGAGUGGUAGAAAUAGCCCUCAAGUGGUAGAAAUAGCGCUCAAGCGCUAGGACCGCUCAAGCACUUAACUAGCGCUUGAGCGCUCAUAUAGAAUCUGCCAGAAUAUGGAAGAAUAUUUUUUGGAUAAUCAUGAAAAUUGGAUUUGGAAACUUUAGAAUAUCAAUCUCCUUCGGCCUAGAGGUUUAUAUAAACCCUAUUAUAACCCUUUAGGGUUAAGAAAUUCACCAAGUGGUUUACCCUAACUUGUCAUACCAUUCCCGAUCUCUCAUCAAGGAAUCAAAGUGUUUAAUCUUGGGUUGUUUGAAGACCUGCAUCCCUUCAACAAGGCUAAGGUGUAUUCACUAGAACAAUUGAAAUUGUUGCAUUGCGGACAUGAAUCAAGUUGCAGGUUCUAGAGAGUAAGUCUUUAGAAUAAAGCAGACAAAGAGUUCUAUGUGACUUUAUCUCAUAUAGUGGAUUUAGCUUUGAGGUCUUAGACCUCGUGGGUUUUUAUCUCCAUAGUUAGUGUGGGGGUUUUCCACAUAAAAAUUAUUGUGUCUCUUGAUCUUAUGUUUGAUUUUAGAUAUUCUAUUUAUCCCUGAUAUCUCACAGGUUAACUUUAGGUUAAAAAUUCAACUCCCUAUUUAAUAAUUUUUAAAAUACACCCAUUCACGAGUGUUAUCCUACUGGACAUUGGUUUUUCACCAUAUAUAACACUCAUACCAAAACCCAUGCAACAUGGACUCCAACCUUAAGCUUAACUUUCUACGAAUGGAAAAAAAAAAAGACAUAACAUAAAUAGACAGAUUUAACAACAUGCUCCUAAUCAAGGUGAAUGUCCCUCUUUUUGAAAGAUAUGACCUUUUCCAUACGAGGAGCUUUCUUUAAAAUUUCACCUCUACCAAUUCCCAUGCCUUUACAAAGUUGUGGAAAGCUCCAAAGAGAAGGCCCAGACAUGUAAUGGGUAGAUUCCCUACCUUAGAACCUUACACCAAAGCUAAACCCCUAAUAUUUGUGACUUCUAUAAGAAUCAAUUCAUUUUUUUCCAUAUUUAUUUCUAAAUCAGACAUUGCCUCAAACCACAUGAAGUUAUAACUUGGAUGUUACAGAUGCUCUUAAUUAGUGUCACAAAAAAAUAGGGUAUCAUCAUCAAACAAGAAAUGUGACACUUCCAUCCCCUCCUCCUGUCUUCCUCCCACUUUGAAACUUGAGAUGUAACCCCUUUUAUCUAAUUCUCCUCAAAAUUCAAUUGAAAGCCUUCAUUGCCAAUAUGAAAAUGUAAGGGGAGAGAGGAUCUUUCUACCUCAAAUCCCUUGAGCUCUCAAAGAAACUGAAUAGGACACUAUUUACUAGAAUAGAGAAUUGAGUAGUGGAAAUGAACCAUUUGAUCCACCUCACCCACUUAUGAUCAAAGUCCAUUUUAUCCAACAUCAUUAACAAAAAGUUCCAAUUUACAUGGCCAUCGUCCUUUCCAAUGUCUAACUUGCAAAUUACCCCACUAUUGGGACUCUUUAACCUUGAAUCUAGAGCAUCAUUUAUGAUUAGAACUGCAUCUAGAAAUUGUCUGUCUUCCACAAAAGCAUGCAAAUAAACUAAAACUAUUUUACCCACCACAUUUUUUAGUCUUUUAGCCAAGACUUUUUCCAAUAGCUUGUACAAAAAAACCCCCAACUAAGCUAAUCAAUGUAAAAAAUUUUAGGUUCUCUGCUGCACCUAUAUUAGGGAUCAAGACCAAGAACAUGACAUUUAAAUUUUGCUCAAAGGAACAAUUAUCAAAAAACUCCCCAAGCUCAUUUGCCAAAAUAUUAUAAUAAAUCCAUUUGGCCCCUACAGCUUUAUCCCCACUCAAGCUAGACAAGGCAACAAGAAAUUCCUCAUCAAAGAAAGGUAACUCCAAUUUCCUAGAAUCAGCACAUAGCAUAACUUCAAAGGUCAUCCCAUUAAUGUUGAGUCUCCACUCGCCCAUAUCAGAUAGGAGAUUUUGGAAGGCCCUAAACUCCCCUUCCUUUAUAUUUGCUUCCCAAGCAACCAUUUUGCAUUCACUCAAAUUUUAAACAUGAAGUUUUUUAUUCUUUGGGCAUUGACCAUUUCAUGGAAAAUUUUGGUGUUUUUAUCCACCCCCUCUUUUAACCAAAUUUCUCUUUAUUUUUGCCCCCAUACAUAUAGAUUCUUCUAACAAGGCCCACUUGCUAAACUCAAUCACCACUAACCUUUGGCCUCAACGAUUUCAAGAGAUAAGGUAACUGCUCUCUACUUUGAGUCCCAGAAGUUGAUCCAGUUUAGCACCUCUAGGUUUUUUGUUGAGACAUUCCCAAAACCUUCUUCAUUCCAAGAUUUUAAAUCUCGUUUGACAGCCUUUAGUUUAACUUCCAAAAUAUGACCAUACAAGCCAUCCACAUUAUAACCAUCAACCAACUCCUCACAAAAUCUUUUAAGCCUUUUGUUUUAGGCUACAUAUUUUAAAAUGUAAACUGUGUUUUCCCACUCCUUAUCCUACCUCCAUCUAAAACUAUGGGGUAAUGACCAAAAAUUGGUUUAGGUAAAAUACUCUAGAUUAAAGUAGAAAAACGAUUCUACCAAUCAUCUGACACUAGGAAAUGGCCAAGCUAGCCUUGAAGAAGACAAAAGAUUAUGAACACCACUCCAAGUGAAUAGCCCUCCAACUAGCGAAAGAUCCCAAGGUCAAGUCCUCUAUGUCCUCUGAAAAGAACCUCAUAUCAAACAACAUUCUAAGGCAAUUCCUCCUUUUCAUGGGGAACUUGACCAUAUUAAAAUCCCCUCUGAAGCACUAGAGGUCAUCCCAAAGGCCUCUUAUGGCACCCAACUCUACCCAGAAAUCCACUCUUUCUCCCCUUUAAACCAACCCAUAAACUCUUACGUAUACCUAGACAAAGCUAUCUUCACAAUUCAUAGACAAGCAAUAGAGAAUGCUUCCACCUCCUUACCAAUUAACUCUAAUACCCUACUAUCUUGGAAAACCAAAAUGCCUACUAUCAAGCUUCUAACUUCCAAUACCAUUUCAAAAAUUUUCCUACUCCUAAACUCCUUACCAGUUGAACGAACAUCUAUCGAACCUUGGUUUCUUGUUAACAAACUAGAUCAACCCCUUGAGACCUUAUCAAUGACUUUAUUAUCAUAUACUUUUCCUCAUCAUUUGCUCAUUUGACAUUCCAAGACAGGAUUUUUAGCUUCAUCAUGCAACCUAUGUUGGAUCCUAACUGCUACUCUUGGAGCCCUUUUCCUUUUUGUUGAGCUUUUAUAAUUGACUAAGCAUCCCAACUUGUUGAGGUCCCUCUCAAACCAAGAUAUCGAGGUUAACUUCCUCUUCACCUCCAACGAAAAAACAGAAACCCCUCUCCUUAGCCUGCCACACAAGGGAAAAGAUCUCUUUUUCAAAUCCAUCAACUGGCAUUCUUGAGAAACUAUUGAAAUUUGCCAACUUACAAGAUAUACAAUUGGAGGAGUGCUUCUCUACCAAACAACUACUAAAAUUCACCUCAAAGGUGACCUUUUCCCCUGAUCUCUCCCCGGCCUCCAUACCCACUGACCCUUUCACAAAAUUUUCUAGAAUUUCCACUAUCAAGCCGUUACGGAGAACCAUCCUCAACAAACUCCUUUGACUAAUGUGAAAAACCCCACCCAAGAGCAUCUUCCAGAAGUUAACUUACAAGAUUAACUAUAAUCUUGUGAAGACUCGUUACCUAAUGGGUAAAAAAUUUGAAAUUCUAUUAGUAUAAUUCUUUUUAGGCACAAAAGCUGUGAAAAUAGCAUUGGUGCUCUAAUUAAUAACCCCAUAAUUAUUAAGCAAUAAAACAACUUUUAAUAAAUUCUCUUUCACCACAUCCCACCAAUCCUAAUGCAAAAAAGCUAGGAAAAAGUCAUCAUUGCUCUAAGCAUUUCUCCUCACUAGUUGAAAGACUGCUUUAUGAACUUCCUCUUCGACAAAAGGACAAUCCAACCAAUUAGCACCAUUUUCCAAAAUGAGAGACCAACCCCCACUCUUCUAUCCUCUAAGGAUCUUCAUAUAACCAUUAAUGCCUUUCUAUACCAGCUAGUAUAUAUCGGGUUUUGGGCAAGUCCUAUAAAUUGGUUUGAGUAAGAUUUUUAAUUACCCUGUUCUUUCUUUUUAGUUGAUAAAUAUGCAUAUAUGUAGUAAUUCAUACAUCAGAAAAGAUUUUGCUAAAACAAAAGAAUUGACAUGCAGAUAGUGACUUCUUGAUAAGAGUAAUAGCUUAAGGGAGGAAAAUGAACUCCUCCAGUGGCCCCAAAGUGGUAAGUUCCUUCAGAUCCCAUGUUGCUAUUCUGCAUUUCUUUGUGUUUUGGCAUCAGCCCUCUUAAUUAAUUCACUAUCCAGCUUCUCAAAUUCCUCGGAUUCUUCCCUUGUUCUUGUGGAAACAUCUGCAUCUUGUCCUUGCAUUGUUAUGGAUUGGUGAUUAUCAUUCUUUGAGAACUGUGUGGCAGCUGCUCGUGCACCAGCUAUGGCUGCAAGGAGACCUUCUGGUUUCUUGUCUUCAGCAGCUUUGGAGCCAUCAAAGCAAGAAACAAGUAAUCCUGGUUUCAAAGAGAGGGGAUCUUGUGGUUCUGGAAGCAGAAACUUGACAGGUAGUGGAGCUUGAACAGGACGAAGACCCCUAACUGCUGCCUCAUAUAUCUGCAACAAUUUCAGGGGGGAUAAGUAAUUAAAAAUCAGUCACUCUAUUGCAUUAGUUAGACUUGCUUUCAAUGCGAUAGCAAAGAAAGAAUCAUCAAUGAAAAAAGAAAAAAUAAAUGAAAAAGAACAAAAAGGAGAGGGAAAAAAAAAUGAUGGGUGCUCAAUUUGUACUUUUCUUUCCAGGUUAUAAAUACGUUGGUACCCGCGCAUCUCAAAUGGUAUGAUUAAUUUCUGCAUCAGGUCAGGAGAACUAAGUCCAUCAAUAUACUAAAAAGCAAAUAUACCAAAAGGCAAGCAAAAAUGUUUAACCAUCUUGAGUGUCAAACUCUCCAAGAAACUAUAUACUUUUAGCUGAAUGAAAACACAUGCCUGUGGUUGCUCACAGAGCCAGCAAAACUCUGUUUGCGCUUCUAGCCUUACCUACAAAUAGAGUUUAGGUUAUCCAACCAAAAUGGAGAUACAUCACACAAAACAAACUGUACCUAAUCAGUUUACGAAGGGGACGGGGGGAAGCAAAAAGCAAAAGUAAAUUUCUAAGAUGCCCACCCCUUCAGGUACCUCCUUCCAGCACGCCAGCUCUUCACAUUUAACACAACCAACUACUUCAAUACAACCUGUGGCAAGAAUAGAGUUUGUUGGAUUUAUUGUAGCAUGCCAUACAGAAAAAUUUAGCAUUUCAGUAAGAAUAAGAAUAAGAGAGCUACUUUCCACUAAAAUACGAAUCACCCAUCAACUGUUGCAAACAGACAACAAUGUGAAUAACAGGUUUUAUAUAUAUAUAUAUAGAGAGAGAGAGAGAGAGAGAGAGAGAGAGAGAUAGAUAGAUAUAGAGAGAGAGAGAGAGUCAAAUAAUAAUAAAGGACAAAAAUAUUUCUUUGAGAAAGACUAAUUAGAAAGAAGAAACAAAGAACCCACAUGAAAUCAAUUUAGAUAAGAGAAAUACCUUUAAGAAUCUAGUUCUUUUUGCAAAUUGCAACUUAGAAUUGGAAUGCCACAUAUUAUUAUAAGGUAUCACAAGAGAUUAUUGCUUCAUUUUUUUUCUUUGCCAGAUCAGUUUUAAUAAAUAUAAAUAUAAAAAUAUAAGCAUGUACACACACACACGCAAACACAUUAUGUGUGUAUGUUUAUGGAUAUGUAGAUAUAGGUUUUUAAUAAUAGAGCAUGAAAACAUAUCUAGUCAGAAAUUCCAAAAAUCCAAAACCAUUAGCAACACCUAACAGUCUUGAAACUGGGUAAUGUUCUGGAAACUUGAGGUCUGCUAUCCCAUUCACAGCAUAGAUCUCCCUGUAGAAAUUCUCCAUUGCUUUGAUUGUGUCUGAAUCUGGGACCUUACUAGCAGCAUGAAUCCAGAGUCGGCCUUCAUAAAACAAAACAUGUAUAUUAAGAAAUAUCCUUGUAGAACAGUAACAUUUUUGCCAGCAUGCAAUUCGUGUUAAUAAUCCUUGGUUCUCACCACUCAUUGUACAUUACAAUGUAAAGACCUAAUAAGCCCUAAUAUAGGUAGGUGUCUGUGCAGAGAGAGAGAGAGAGAGAGGGGAGGGGGGUGAAAGGAAAGAUGAUUAUAGAACAAAUACAAGUUGAAUCUCCUGAAAUAAUGUCCAUCAAGUUAUUUCCUAGCAACAAGUACUGAUUAUGCUUUUCCUGAUAACAUGAUUUUCUUUGCUAACAACCAUACUAUAUUUUAUCAAGAAAGAGUAGUGCAUGUGGCGUGCAUCAAGACCCAUUAGAGUUCCGCUAAACCUAUAGUUCUGUCAACGUUAUCAUUUACGUUUCCUCUAGAUAAUGGCAUUUUCCUCUAAAACUCUUGCACCAUUAGGCUUCAAGUCAAAAUUUCACAUGUGAACUUUGGAAAUUUUCUCCAUUUGCCCCUAAGGAUACAGUUAGAAUUGACUUAAAAUCCUGAUUGAUGUAUACUUUUAACCGAAGAAUAUUGUAUAUAAUAAUUGAAAUAUUGUUGAUUCAUCGUGGAAAUACAUUUUGUAAGGAAAGUUGUUAAGAAUUUAGUAUGCUAUAUGGAGAAAAAAGUCAUGACUUAAGGUUGAGUAUGUAUAUUCUAUAUCAAAUAUUAGGUAGGAAUGUGGAAAAGAGCAGAGUGUAAUUAUAAGAAACAAAGAAAUAUAAGAUAUUCUUGAAAGUGGAAAAUGUAAAAUGGCUAAAAGUCAAAUUUAUGAUGCAUAAGGGGGAUCAUGUCACAUAAGAAACUCAUGGCAUACCAAAUACGUGUGGUAUGGAGUAACAAUUUUGUUAAAAUAAGUUUCUCGUUGGAGUACAUUAGGUGACAAUUUUUUAAUAUCAAAUUAAAGAGUCAAGUGCAUCAAUGAAGUCAUAUGUAGAAAAUUUGUUUGUGACAUGUACCAUAAAGAUAAGAUUGACUUGAUAUAAUUUAGUCCAGGUAGGAGUUGUUAAAGGUGUCUCAAAUUUCUAAUUGAUAUAUAUUUUUUUCUAAAAAAAUAUUAUAUAGAUAUUUCAAUAAAUGAUUAAUUCUUUGUAAAAAUACUUACAUAAUAAAAAACAUCAUUAGAAAUAUCUCUAUAAAUAUUUUAAAUCACAAAAAGAAAAAAAAAAUCACUAUGAGAUAAUUAUAAACAUGCAACAUUGUACCAAGUAAACAGAAAUGUGAUAAAAAAAUUUUGAGAAACACUAAAUAAAGGAAGGGCUUGUAUAUCAAGAUGUAAAUAUAGAGAGCAAUAUUUUUAAUCAUAUGAUAGAAUUAUUUUCUCUCAUUCAUGAUUAUAAGCAAAAUUGGGAACCAUUAUAAAAUCUUGUACACCUCGUGUAAAUUGAUGUUUGUCUUCAUAUUUUACACCAACAAAUGACAUUGAAGUUGUCAUUGAUAAAAGGGAAAAGGCAUGGCCUCCACACCAUGUGCUUGAAUCGUAUGGUUCAAGUUUAAAGAAUUUUCUCCAUAAUUUGAAGAUCUAAAACAUUUUCACCUUUAAAUUUCAUUUAAUUAUUAAUAUCUACAAAAAAUAGUUAAAUACUCUUUCUAUUUUUGAGUUGUUGAAUUUUUUGAAAGUUUUUAUAUUUGUUAUCAAGAAUUUAUAUUUUAUUAAGUGUGAAUAUUUAUAAAUAAGAUAUUAUAUAAUAUUUGGAUAAGAGAGAAUGGUGGAAUAUAAUAAAGUUUUAAUCCUUCCCAAUUUUUAUCUUUUUUUUUUUUUUUUUUUAUAAUCGCCUUUCUCUUUCAAUCCUAUUAUCAGGUACCUUAUAUUUGCUGAUGCUAUCUGGAACUAAAUUCCAAUCAGACAUUGUCCAAUUACUAAUAGGACAGAUCAUGUCUCUCUGUUUCUAAACUAACAUGUAUCGUAAUGUGGCCUCAUAAGGAAGGCUAGGAAGAUGGAGGAUUUUGUGGGAAGCGACCAGAAUCAGAUGGAAGAGAGAUAGCCCUGUUGACCUAAUGGCUGUAAUAGGAGAAGCGUGUGGAUUUAUGGGACUUAACUGAUACUAAACCUAUAUGAUGCUUGGAGUGGUGUUUCUUUCAUUUUGUUAAGAAAAUAUGGCAGCAUACAUCCUUUCAAUUGAGUGCAUCAGAGCAUCCAUAAUAGAUGGUCUGCAACCCUAGGUGCAUGCCACUUUCUGACUGAUAAUGAAACUGUCAGGUACUUGGCCUUGACUAAGCUCAACAGCAUCACAUAAAAAGAAGCUUUCAUACUUAGAUUACUGUUUAAAGCUUUUGCUUAUUUGCUUUCUUAAUGCCAUUAUGACAUUAUUGUUUCAAUUCUGCUACCGAUUUUCGAAGUUCUGGGCAUCUACUGAUUGCAUCAUUAUAUGAGAAGUUGCAUGAGUUUAUGUAUCCUGUUAUUGCUCCUUUGCGAUUUCACUGCUCACGGGACUAACCUCUCCAUUCAGUCGAAAUGAAUUGUAAUUUCUUUACUGGUAGCAGUAGUACUUUUCAUAGCAAAGAUAAUAGUAAAUAUGAAAUAUAAAUAGAAGGAAAUCUGAAUUGUAGAUGGCACUAUAAGUAACACUCAAUAUUCACUACAUAAUAAAAUAGACAGUGUUACAAAGGUAGAGAAACCUACAAUGAGUACUCAUCACCAUUCUCAAACAGAAACAUAGCAGCGACUUAUACAUAGAACCUAUAGGCUUGCAGGGAAAGAAGGGAAAGAGUAACAUGAUAAGUUCACAGCGGGUAGCAGCUCUUAUUUUACGUAUUACUCAAAAUCUCAAACUAACCAAAGUCACUCAGUUGGGAUGGGUAGGAGAUGGUGGUUUGUGGGGUGGCUUCUGGGUAGGAGCUGGUGGCUUCUUUGUUGGAGUUGAAGGAGGCGUAAUCUUCUGAGGUGGCUUGUAUGAGUCUUCGGCACUCUCUGCAGGAGGGUGCCCAGGGUUGUGACCGGAAGGAGGUGGCUUCUGUCCCUUUGGUGGUUUGCCUAAUGGGCUUGGUGGCUUGUGCUCCGGGAGUUGUUUCUCUCCCUCGAGUAGGUUUCGAGUUUUGUCAGAUGGCUUGUGUUCUGGUGGUGGCUUCUCUCCCUGGGGUGGUUUGCCGAAUGGGCUUGGUGGCUUGUGUUCGGGGAGUGGCUUCUCUCCCUGGAGAAGGUUACGAGUUUUGUCAGAUGGCUUUUGUUCUGGUGGUGGCUUCUCUCCCUGGGGUGGUUUGCCAAAUGGGCUUGGUGGCUUGUGUUCGGGAACUGGCUUCUCUCCCUUGGGAGGUUCAUUUGGUGGCUGGUGUUCCGUAGGUGGUUCCUUCACCGGCGGCUUGUGCUCCGGAAGCGGCUUCUCUACCUGGAGAAGCUUACGAGUUUUGUCAGAUGGCUUGUGUUGUGGUGGGGGCUUCUCUCCCUGGGGUGGUUUGCCAAACGGACUUGGUGGCUUGUGUUCGGGGAGUGGCUUCUCUCCAUUGGGAGGUUUAAUUGGUGGUUGGUGUUCCGUAGGUGGUUUCUGAAGUGGGGGAUGCUUGGGGUAGUCAGCAAGAGACGAGGUAGUGAGAACCACCAGUCCCAGCAGCAACACUAGCAAGGAUGUGGAAGACAUCUUUGAGUUCAGGCUGAGAUCUGUGCAAGGAUAAAAGAUUUAGGUGGCCUUUUAUAGAGGGAUGGACCCAACACCCAUAUGACACGUGUCAUGCACUCAUGGUGACACAUAAAUUCUAUGGAACCAUUUGGGUCCUACAGAAGUUGCAAAGUUGGACUAUUGAGGUGUGAUCACAACUUUUGUCCUUCUUGCUUUCUCUGCGGCCAUUGCCCAAUUUCCUUUAGCAUCAUUUUCUUGGCUAAAUAAGCGUAUUAUAUUUGUGGCAGACCGUCCACGUGUCAUAGACAGAUAUAUUAUAAUAAUGUAGUAUGCUUUUCUUCAACGGAACAUGACACUCUUCUAAGUCUUGUUUUAAAUACUGUGCAGUAUUACGUUAUACGUUGCUUGUUCCAAGUCAAAAUUGGUGGGCAAACGUUGGCCUUUUUUCAUUUUCCCUAAGAUUAAUGCUCACCUGGGAUAGGCACUACAUGAUAUAUCUGCUCUUUUACUGUGAAGUUGCUUUGUGCAUGAGUUACACCUCCCCUGCACACCCUCAACAUUUGUUGCUCUGUUUUCCUUGUGUCCAGACGAGGAUAUUAAUUGGAGGCUGACAAAACGACUGCUAGCCAAGGAUUUACAAGGUCCUGGUUUGACGCUUCCGCGAAAGUAUUUUUGAAAAGAUACACAUAGAGAUUGCGCGUUCGGUGCAAUGCAACAAUGUGAGCCAUUCUGAAGUUUUUAAUUUCAGAUUAAUGAAUGCUACAAAAUUCUAAGAAGGGCCGUUUCCAAAUAUUUGAGUUCAUUUAUCCGAACAUCGGAUAAGUAAUGAUCAUAGAUUAUUAUCUGACGUUCUUAUAAUGGUUGGCAUUAUAAGAGGGUAUAUGCUUCUUUCUCUAGCCCCUCCUUCAAGGGAGGGACAAUGUGAUCUGUAUCGUUAGAAGCUAUUCCAUGUCAUCAUCUUUGGGCUUAAGUCAAUACUAAAAUAUAUGGGCGGGGCCCCUGUCAUUUUAUAUUUCUUCUAGAAGGUUUGUUCUGGAAAUCUUUCACCGAAACAUAUCUUUUUCUUCUCUACGUGAUCCGGUUUGAAAGUUGGAAAAAUGGGUCCGUUAACAAGACACCGAGUUGAAAAGUUGGAAAAAUGGCAACACCGCCAACCUCUUGUAUUCGAUGGUUAAAUAAAAGGUCACUGGAAGUGAGAUCCCUUUUGGCCUCUUGAUUUUCAUUCCAGCAUCUCUAUGGCCUGAUAAACUAAAAAACUAAAAAAAAGACAGUACGUGGGUUGGUGUUAAGCAUCAAGAGUCAAGACAUGAUAAUGGAGAGAAAGGAUAUUCAAAUUCCAGUUCUGACAGCAUGAUUUUCUUUGCUGAACAACCAUAUUAUAUUUGAUCAAGAAAGAGUAGUGCAUGUGGCCAGGAUCAAGACAUACAUUAAUUUCCACAUGAUCAAGACAGUUUCUUCUAAAGCUCUUGCGCCAGUAGGCUUCAAGUCAAAAUUUCCCAUGUAAACACUGGUUUUUCUUUAAUUGCCACUAAGGAUGCAGUUAAAAUUGACUUAAAAUCCUACGUGAUAUAUUUUUUUAACAAAAGUAUAUUGUAUAUAAUAUUUGAAAUAAUGUUGAUUCGUUGUGGAAAUAUGUUUGUAAGGAAAGUUGUUGACAAUUUAAUAUAGUAUAAGAAGAAAAAAGCUAUCAGCUAGAGAUGAGUAUGUAAAGUGAGGCUCCCGAUUCAACGCGUAAAUAUAAGAUAUUUUAAGGCUCAAUAGUUAUGAUAUCUAUUUUAUUUUUUGUAUCUCAUAUAUUCAAAGAUAUAGUAAAAUGAUUUUAUAUAUAUAAACAUAGCUGAUUGUAUCAUGUUAAAACCUGGUAUGACUUUUUGUGCCAAUUGAUUUUUAUCUUUAUUUUGUAUAUUAGUAAUUAGUAUUAAAGUUUUUACUAAUAUAAUAACUAAUAUAAAAACUUUUUCUAAAAGAGUCAACAGAGCAAAACAUUUAUUGUAAAAAAAAAAUUAAAAUAUUAUUUUUUCUAUUUAGAAAAAGUUAUAUAUUUUAUUUUUUCUAUUUAGUAAAAAGUUUAUAAUAAGUCAUAAAAAAAAGUAGAAAAACAAACCACCUAAAUUCUGAAAACAAAUUAUUUUCAAUAAAAAGUCAAAAAAAUAAACACUAUCUUAACUAAACAAGCAUAUAUUAUAUUUGGUUAAAGAGUAGAGUGUAUAUGGCACACAUCAAGGAAGAGAAACAAAAUAAGUGGAAGACAAUCAAGGGAACAUGUAUGGUCUGCCUUUUUCUGAUGUUAUGUUUGUCUCUAAUUCUGUUCCAUGUCAUGGUAAAUGUUCACAUUGCUUGUAUGGAACAAAGGCUUCAUAUUGGGUUCAAUGCUUUUAAUGUGUUCAUUGGACAAAUCUGAAUUAUCAUACGCAUUUAGAUAAGAACAAUAAUGUGAAACCCUAGUUACACCUCCCCUGCAUAACCCCAACCCUGCUUGCUCUAUUUCAGUUUAUUCACACAAGUUUUACUGGUUCUUAUAAGUCAAGAAAAAGCCACUGAUGUUGGAUCGACUCUCUUCCAUGUAAAAAAAAGCAACUUUUAUAAAUAUAAAAGAACUUCUUCCCCUCACGAAUGUGGGAUAUCAUAGAUUUAUUCUGGAAACACAUCAAAGGAACAUCUUUUCUCUUGGGUGACCCUAAGUGGUGGGUCAGACCAUUUGCAUGCCAUUGAGUUGCACAGUUGGAUAAAUGCACCUACCUCCUGGGCUCCAGAGUAAAAGGGUGGAUCCCUGGAUUGCAACCCUCCUGGCAUCUUGGUUUCUAUUCCAACAUCCACAUGACUUGACAAAACAAAAAACAGAAUAAAAUCAGCACUAUAUUCAUGCUAAGCACCAAUACAUGAUGGAAAUCAUUGCUUAAAGAUUUGGGGUCGUUUAGGUUUUGACUGCCUCCUACCACCUCACCUAAUGACAAGUUUUUAUGCUUACAAAUCAAAUAUCAUUCUUCAUUAUAUUAAAAUCAUUUUAAGAUUUCAGAUCCAUCUGCUAAUUAUGAUUAUGAUAACAUUAAUUCACCUGUGCUUCUCAUUUUCGACACACAAGGCAUCUAGGUUUGCAGGAUUUCCUUAUUAGAUGAGAUAAAUGAGUACGCAUGGUUAUGUAUGCAGCAUUCAUUAACCAUGGUAUGUGACAUUUAGAAUUAAGAUAGCAAGCAAACUUUCCCUGCAGCUUGAGUAAAUUGUGAUUUCUUAGCCUCUAUGAGUGGUUCCCAAAUCAAAUUAACAUAGUGAAAUAUACGUAGUCCAGUGAAAGGAAAUGUAAAUUAUAAACUAACAGCACUACACUACUGGUAACACUCGAUACUCUCUAUAUAAUGCAAUAAACAAUGUCAAUGCUCAUUGCCUACAAGCAAGGCACAAACACUAGAACAAGUAAAGCACAAACCUUUCCCAACAGUUCCCAGUGACUGAUGCAUAGCAUACCCUCAACUCACAGAAGGGGAUGAUAUCAGUGCACUGCAGCACUUAUUUUACACAUACUACCACUACUACUACUACUACUACUACUACUACUCAUUAGCCAAAGUCACUCAGUUGGGAUGAGUGGAAGGUGGAGGCUUGUGGGGUGCUAUGUGGAAAGGAGUUUGGCUUCUUCUCAGGAGAUGGUAGCUUCGUUGCGCGAGUUGAAGGAGGCUUAAUCUUCUGUGGUGGAUUGUAUGAGUCUUUGGCACUCUCUUCUCUCGUUCAGGUGAGUACCCAGGGGUGUAUCCAUAAUGCGGUGGCUUCUAUCCCUUAGGUGGUUUGCCAAAUUCAAAAUCGAAGGAUUUUUUUUUUUUUAAGUAAACAUCUCUUUGAAAGCUUUUAUUUUGUAUGGCAAAUGGAAUGAGACGAGCUGUCAUAUUCUAUUUGGCCAGAGCGACAUAUCACAAAUGAACAAGCUAUUUACUGCCACACUGGGCAAAACAUACAUAAUCCUUGUACUUCAAACAUCCAUGAAUUCUCAUCAUUUUCAGGACAUGUUGCAUGGUUUAUCAUUCUAUAUGUCGGCAUAGUAAGUGCAGCUAAUAAGCCUAUUCAGAGCCGAAAUUCAAAAUCUAUUCACAGGAUAAUGACCUUAUUAUUGGAUUUUGCUCACUGUCAUACACACAUAUCAGAUAAAGCCCCACAUGCUCAUAAGCUACAAGCAACCUACAAGCACUAAAUGAGUGUUAGACGUAUGAAACAUUCCCCAAUACUAGUAGUAUUCCCUGUUCCAUAGGACACUAAAUUAGAAGAGAGAAGAUGUGAGACUCCAGCUUUUCUUUCUACAUAUUACUCAUAUCAAGUCGGAAUAGUUAGGUGGUAGAGGCUUGGGGUGCCUUGUGUAGUCUAGGCAGCUUCUCUCAGAAGUUGAUUUCGUCUUAAUCUGGAUGUCCAGGUUUCAUCCUUUCGAAUUUCCCAUGCAACUCAGCAUUCUCCUUGGGAAACUUCACUCCAUUGGGAAACUUCACUCCAUUGGGAAACUUGUGUGAAUCUUUGGCAUUCUCUACCAGAGAAGGCCCAGGGUAGUGACCAUAAGGUGGUGGCCUUUUUUCAGGUGGUGGCUCCUCUCCCACUGGAGGCUUGUGGUAAUCAGCAAGAGAGGCAGUGGAGAGAAUCAUCACCCCAAGGAACAGCACUAGCAAGUAUGUGUGAGCCAUAUUUGGGAUCUGAUGAUGAAGACUAGAAGAUAGGAGUGGCCUCUUAUAAUGGGUUGGAGACUAUAUCUCAAGGGGACGUGUAUUUAUGCAUAUGAUCUAUAUAGGACCUUCCUCCUAAUAUUUUCAAAAUAAUGUUAUUGUCUCUCUUGGGUGACGGUUUGAUUUGGUCUAUUUCCA